rnacentral:lncRNA from 1 species
UUUUUUUUUUGGGUAUAAUGGCAUGUAUAGGCUAAAUUUGACUAAAUGAUGGCAUGUAUGUGUUUUGUUGUAAUUAGCCAUUGGAAUGGCUUGUAAUGGUCAUGUUUUGAUACAUGUGGAAUUACCAUGUUUGAAAUAUGAAUUUGAUUAUGCAUAUAUGCAUUUGGUAUCUAGGUAAGUAUAAGUUUUGGAAUGACAUGAUAAUAAAUUGUCUAUUGGGGUGCCUAAGAGAACAUUGGUUGUAUGUGUAAUAUGUCAAGUUUAAGACAUGAUUUUGGUUUGUUUUAAAUGCUUUGAUAUGGUUUGUGAAUGUAUUUAAGUGUUAUUGUAGGUGGAAAACAAGUUUGGGUGAGAAAUAUGGCUAGGAAAUGGCCUUAUUUUGUCCACACGGGUAGAGACACGGACGUAUGUCUCAACCGUGUGUGACACACGGCCUAGCACACGGGCGUGUGUUUUGGCCGUAUGACCCCUACAUCUUUAAAAUUUCAAAACAAAAUGCUCAGAAUUGAUCACACGGCCUGGCACACGGGCGUGUGGCUUGGCCGUGUUACCCCUGCACCUACACACGGCCUAGCACACAGGCGUGUGACCCAAGUUAGAGAGUUACACGGGUACAAACACAGGUGUGUCUCUUGGCCGUGUGAGCCACACGGCCUGACCACACGUGCUUGUGUACCUUGUACCGAGGAAAAGUUUUGAAAUUUUGUAAAAAAUUCUCUAAGUACCCAGAUUAGUCCCGACUUAUUUCUAUUGCAUAUUUUGGGCCUCGAUGGCUGAUAUAAGGGACAAUAUGAUUGCUUAUGAUUGAUUUCUUAUAUAAAUGAGAAAUGAUAUGAAAUGUUUGUACUUGAUCUGUAAACUCUGGUAAUGUUCCAUAACCCUAUUCUGGCGACAAAUAUGGGUUAGGGGUGUUACACAUUAUGCAUGUUUAUGAAUGGUUUAUGUUAUGAUUUAAAUUAUUGAAUGAUUUAAAGUUUAAAUGUUUCUGAUUGAAUGGUAAUACUUAAUAACCCUAUUUCAGCGACGGAUACGGGUUAGAGGUGUUACACCGUGACAUGAAAAUUCACCAUUUUUCUAACGUAAACAUGCCAGCCUAAUUUUGUCUAUAUUUGUCUCAACCCAUAUUUUCUCAUUUCACCCAAAGUACAUGAACUUUAUCAUUUAUACAAUUUAAUCAUUAAACCCUAAAAUCCACUAAAAUCCACUUAACAAAUAAUGUUCAUUCAACCACCAAAAUUAAUUAUCUAACACUUAACAUCACAACACAUCAAAUUCAUUCAUCGCAAGUCCCUCAACCUUUAAUAGUUUUGCAAAUUAACCCCUGGGCUAGGUAGAUUAAACUAAAAUGAGCUCAAAAAUAUAAAAAUCAUUAAAAACAGAAUUAAAAACAUUUACAUGCAAAGCUCCAAUGUUGUUCAAACUUAAAGCUAACAAAAUGGUUUUCUUUCCCACAAAAAUCAGUGGAGGAGUGUUUCAAAAAAUAUGACACUAUUUUGGUUAUCUUUUUUUAUUAUUACUAAUUAGUUAUUUACCAUUUUAGCCUUUAAAAACAUCCAAUUUUACUCAAAUACCAAACCACUAAAUUCCACUAACUUGCACAUAUGGUAUUUUUACCAUUUAAAUCCUUUCAUUAAAGAUUCCACAUCCAUUUAACCCUUUAACAAAAGGGAUCAACUUUUGCUCUUUUUUUAAUUUAGUCUUUUUUAAUUAAUUAACCAUCUAAACCUCAAAAUUUCUUAACAACAAUUUAAUAUGACCCUAAUAUAACGCUAUAAACAUUAAAUAAACAUUAAAAUAUUUAUUCACUCAUUGAAAUUGUGGUCCCAAAACCACAGUUUCUGACACCACUAAAAUCGGGUUGUUUCAUCGUACACAUAUAUAAAUAGUCAAAUUUCACUUACAAGAGCUCAACAUGUGUCACCUGAAUUCAGAGUUUGUCUUUCAUAAUGGCCUACAAAAUCUGAGGAUAAAAUAAAUGAAAAUCUAAUAUUUUAAAUAUCCGAUUACUCAAUUUGGUUGACUCUUAACUAGAUUACCUUAUAUCAUAACUUGGAAAGUGCUUCAAACAUACAAGCGCACUAUACCUCUGGCAUGAACUCACACCAUAACUACAUAUUUACUUUGUUAUUAUCAUAAUUUAGUUAACAUAGUAAUCUGACACAGAACCAUCAUUAACUUAAACCUUUAUUGGAGUACGCCCAUCCUACACGCCCAACGAAGAUACUUGGGGGAUACUACUUCGCCACACAGACUAUUUUGAUACUAUGCGCCAAAAACCUUGAAUCCGCCAAAACUAGGGUGUUACAACAAGGAUAUAUUAUGAGGGUAACACACUUAUGACAAUGUCAUUGGGUGAGCAUUAAAUAGUUGCUUUUGUAAUGGUAAGUCGUUAGAGAGAGCUUAAUCACGAUACUUAGUGGAAUGACUUCAUCACUAAAUGAGUUUAUAAUUAAUAGGUGAAAAGAUGAAACUUAGUUCUAAAUCACUUGAUCCUUAAUUAGAUAUAUCCAAUCGGUCCCUCCAUUAGCUCAUUGAAACUAUAAAGAAACUGCAUAUUGAAUCAAAAUGAAUAAAAAUAGAGAAAUGGGAAACAUUCAGAAAAAUGAUUAUGGUUUUCUCUUAAAUGAAGAAAUGAAAUCAUUUUGGAAAUGAAUGUGUGUUUCUCAAAAAUGGAAAUGAAAAAGAAAAAUGAUUCAUUCGCAAAUAUAUAUGGAUUACUCAAAAAAGAUUAGAAGAAUGAGUUUAUAUUUUUUAGCAGUUUUAAAGCCUGAAAACAAAAAUAAACCAUUCAGUCAUAAUGAACAAGUUGAGUUGUGAAAUAUUGAAUAUAUUUUAUUAAAAAUUUACCAGGGUAAAAUCGUCAUAAUUUUAUAGGGGGUAAAAUUGGGAAGAGAAAAUUAUUUAAUCGGAAAAUUAAUGUUUAUUUUGGAAAAUAGAAAAAUAUGUAUUGGGUUGGAUUAAAUUCUAAAGUGUUGAGUUAAAAGUCCAGAAAACACAUAAAAUUGGACCUAAUACAAUGAGAGACCCGAAUACCCAUCAUAAUAUUAGCCCCUCUCCCUCUUCUAGUUGGACUAGGAAAUUAUUUUUCUAUUUGAACUAAAGCUCUACAAUUCAACAAGGGUUGUAUCUUCUCUCCCUAUUAUAGAUGGCAUCAGAAGAUCUAUUUACAUAAGUUGAAAAUAUUGUCACUCUGCCAAAAAAUAGAGAGAAUUUUUUCUCAACUAUUAUAUAUUUUUUUCGGAAUAACAAUUCUGUCGUUUUUAUUUUGAAAAGAGAAUUUUUGUUUUCACCUCAAAAUUAAAGAAAAUUUUUUCUUGUUCAAGAAUUUCGUUGGUUUCAAAAUCGAGAAAAUUUACAUAAGUUCAAGGUUUAUUGCUAUAAAUAUCACAAAUCGAGUUGGUUUCAAAAUUUUCAUUUUCCGUUGUACAAGAAAUUCGUUUCCAAACUGAAUUUUUUCCAACAUGGAUUUGUUGGACAAAUUAAGAGACCAAAGCGAGGUGGUAGUAGUCAUUAAAGAGGCUGUCGACUGGUGCUUCGUAUGUCACUCCCUUCCAUGAAUAAGGUGUCUCGUCGUUGGAGUUUCAGCUCUGUAACAUGUUUAAGGGAUUGUUAAGAAUAAAGAGCUUGAAAGAAAGAAAUAGAACCCUAUCCGUAUUCAACCCCAAAGCUUGAAACUUAAGAACUAAAAUAAUUAUCCACCAUAAAUGGAGUUUAAUACUAGAUAUGGAACUUUUCAUUUCUCAAACUGAUGAUAAUCCUAUCUUUCUCCUAUGAAACAUAAACACACACUCUGAGAAAAUACUAAAAGAAGUAACUGAUAUUUAUAAUGUAUGUUAAUGAAAGUGCAGAGGCCAUGUGGGGAAAGAUUUCUUUUCUUUUUAAAGAAAAAAAUGCUUGUAAUCGCCAUAUUGUUUUGGUGCACUGCACCGCUCUCAGCUAAUAUAUAAUUUAAAGUUAGCUAGAAAAAUGACUAGAUAAUAUAAUUUUAUAUAUUUAUUAUUCGUCUCUCUCUCACUCUCACUCUCUCACUCUCUCACUCUCACUCUCACUCACUCACACGCACAUUCAUUAAACAAUAAAAUAAAAUCACCUACAGGUUACAAUAUCAUAAUAGAAAGCAUCUUUGUACAAGACAUGGACAUGAAGUUGAAACUUGAAAGUUGCAGUGCUCUCUUAGAUUGACUUUAAUGAAACUUUCAUUAAUGUGUUUUUUUGUAUACAUGAAAAACACUUUGUUGAAAUAUAUAGACUAAUGGCUUCUAGGAAGAUUGGCAUGAGCUUUACUAUCUUCUUGUCAAUUGUUAUAUAAAAAAUAUGAAAAUCUACAAAAUUUGCAUUUAUUCUUUUGGAUGGAUGAAUUUCCAAUUUCAUAACAUAAAAAAAAAAGCUAAAUAGAGUAAAAGUAAUAUGAAAGCCCUUUUACUUAAAAAAAAUGGGCACAUUAGUCCUUAUAUGUUAGAUUAAAAAGUAAAUUGAUCCUUUAUUUUAAAAAUUCCAUCCCUUUGUUCUAUUAAAAAUUAGCUUGCCUAAUAAAAUAACCAGAUAGUGACAUGUAGCAUGCCACAUGUACCUUCUGUUGAAGUAUAGAGACCAAUUUUUAAUAAUAAUAAUUAAUGAAAUUUUUAAUAAAAGAACUAGUUUGCUAUUUGAUCUAACGUAUAGGAACUAAUUGCUCAUUUUCUAGUAUAGAGACCAAAAUGCAAUCCAACUUUUAGUACAUGAGUCACCAUGAUCCUUUUACUGUCUUAGUUAGUUCUAUUCUUUUUUCCCUAAAACAUUCGUACAUAUGAAAAAUAUUAAGCUAGAAAUCUUACUGGACUUGCAUAUAAUGUUUAGAUCAUAUGUUUCAAUUGAAAUUCUAAUGUAUGUGAGAAUCCGAAACAAAAUAAGAAGAAAUAAUGGGAAAUGAGAAGGAAAUUUGAUAACGAAUUUGAAAAGGACUACCGAAUGAAAUUGUUUUUACGAGCCAAGGGUUAUCUAAUAGUUUUUUAACUACUUCAAAUGAACAAUUUAAAUAUCCAUGAUCCAUCCAUUCACGAAAUUUCUAAGUAAGCUUAGGAGGGCAUGUUUUUAUGUCCACUUUAAAAAAAUUUCUUGGAGUUGAAUUAAGUUGGAUCCUUAAAUGAAAAACAAUUCUAUCCUAAUGUUGUUUUCGCCAUCCAUAAGACUUAACCUAAAAUAUUAUGAAAAAACGAGGUUUUUACAAUUCCAAAAAUGUUGAUAACCCUAAACUUUCUCCUUGAAAUAUGGAUUACAACAUUUGAAGUGAUAACCAGCUAGCAAUGAAUCCACUCCAAAAAGAUUUAUGUCCAUGUUUUGGUAGCAAGCAAGAUGAUGAAGUGAUACAUUGCUCUCCAACUUUGGCUGUACAUUUAGAAUUGGUCUAGUUGAUUAUCACUGUAACAUCCUUAUACCUAACCCAAUCGCCAGGUCUGAGCAAUAGGAUGUCACAUUCGUUCCCAAAACAACUCACAACAAAUAUAUUAUAAUUAAAUGAUUGAAUCACGUCAUACACAUUACCAUAUAAAGAUAUACAACUUGACCGAGUCUAAAUUGAGCUUAUGGAAGCUCUUUUGUUGUCCAAGCAUGAAAUAAUACCAAAUUGCAAAAUUUUAAUAUUUUUGAAAUAGGUAUUGAUACUUGACCUUUCUUACAGAUACUCUCUUACAAGUAUUGAUACCAAAUUCUAGUAUUGAUACAUUUGUAAUGUAUCGGUACCCUUGUAAAGUAUCAGUACUUUAGUCUGGUAUAGAUACUGUUUUAGUAUAUCGAUACCUUUUUUAGGAUAUCGAUACCUUAGUGCUAAAAUUGUCAAAAACUUCCAUUUUGAUGUCCAUUCCAUGCCCAAAACAAUUUGGCACAAAAGGUACCUUUAGACACAUCAAACAACUUGUUACAUUGCAAGCUAAUCUUCUAAGCAUUUCAAGCCAUUGAAAUCAACAUUCAACCAUGCCAAAUCUAAGUAUAAUUCAUACUAUUUGCACCUUUAUGAACCAUUCAAACACCAUUUCAACUAUCUAUAUACUUUCCAAACAUUACCAAAACUUUCCAACCACAACAUCAACCAUUUUUACAACAUUUCAUUACCAAUUUAUAUCUAUCAUGCUCAAACUCGUACUCAUUCCAAAACUAAGCAAUGACAUGCACUUUCAUAUUCAAUCUGAUCACUUCAUACAUAUUUUAGCACUUAAACACAUAUAUAUUAUCUUCAAAUGAUGUCCAAACAUAUCCACUUACAUAUGACAUACCAUUUCUAAUUAUGUAUCAUCAUAACAUAUCAUAUCCAAGCACUAAAUUAAAUGAUUCAACAUCAAGUAUAUAUGCACACAAGAUUCAUUCCAUCAUCAACCUAGCUUUAACAAUCAUACAAGGUUUAUCAACUUUCAAAAUUAACCUUGAACUAAGCAAAAUAUAAGGACUUUCUUAGAUAAAUGUCAUUAAACUAACUAAGAACUUCACCAACUUUGUUGUGUUUGCUUUAUAGUUAGAUGUUGAUGUCGAUAAGGUGAUCACGAUCGAAACCUAACCUACGCACAGAAACAAAUCUGUAUGCUGGGUAAUAAACCUAAUGGUAUUUCUAUAAUUAAACAUUAUAAAAUAACAUAAUUUAUUCAAUUGCAUAAAUCAAAGUCCAAUAAAUUCAAAUGCAAAACAACAUAUUAUAAUGCACCAUUUCAUCAUAUACAUCACCCCAUUCAUGCUCUAUUUAUUCAUAUAACCAUAUCACAGAUUACAUAACAUGUCUUUUUAACACAAGUUCAUAUUGAAUUUUUUUACUUUAUAAAUUCAAUGUUCAUAAUCAUCCAUCAUCUCAAUUAAUUUCAUAUACUUUUAUACAUUUUUACUUUUUAAUUCCCCAACUCAGACUCGAACGGAUACAUGGAUCCAACCAAUCACACCAAGUUGGCACCUAGUGCCCCAUCGGACAAAUCUGAAGUAAAUAGUUUGCACCUUGUGCUCAUCGGUAUAACCGAAGUAAAAAUGUGCCUAACACUUAUCGACUCGUAGUUCAUCUUUCAUAAUUCGAUGCUGUAACGCCCCAAAUUUCAGGCUAGAAGUAUUGGGCCUUGAGCUUGGAAGCAGAUAGGAGACUGCUCUUGGAUAUUUUAGUUGUACAAGUGAAUAACACGAAAUUAUGUCUGCUUUAGUGGUUAAGGGUCUUGAGAAGUAUUGGAGAAGUCUUGGGUUCAAACCUGGGCUACAGCAAAAAUUUUGGUUUUAGGUGAAUAAAACCCAGGGAGUAAGUAAGUAGGCUUUAAGAAUAAAAUGUGAUAAAAGGUGACAUAAAGAGAGUGGGUGGUCUAGUGGCAAGGUGGCGUUACAGCCGGCAAGAGGUCUGAGGUUCAAAUCUUAGGAUGAGCAAAAGAGGUUUUAUUUUGCAGUUAUGACGCCUAGUGGUUGUGUUGUAGUGGGAUUCUGCUUUGGUGGUUGUGGAAUUGGUCUUGGGGGAGUGAUUCAUGGGAUAAGGAUUUGGAGGAGUUUGAAAGUGUUUCAAAUUAGGGGUGUUGAGAGAUUUGGUGAGUGGAGUUAGGGGUAUAGUAGUAGUUGGCUGAAAGUGGGUUUCCGAUGGUGCAAAUUCGGUCAUAUGACUUUUAUUCUUGUGCUGAAAGAGGUUGUGCAUUUUUGCUCUCCAUUUCAAAAAUGUUUACCUCUUGUUGUGUUGUUUUCCCCCUUUUAUGUAUUGUGUGUUUUGGUAGCCAAGUACCAUCAGUAUCCAUUCGGGUAAUUGGGUUGUUGUUCUUCAAAAUCGUUCUUUGUUGGAUCAACUUCCUUUCUCUCCCUUAUUGGUACCUUGUCUUUACUUAUUUUUGGUUUUGGGUAGCUAAACGUUUCCUUUCUUGUUAGUCGAAUAUUGUUUGUGCCAUCAACCUUCUCCCUUGUCCCCGAUUGUCGAUUCGCUUCUAUUCUCCCUCUCUCUCAAGCCAUGGUGGAUGACCAUCUCAUCUUCCUCUCGAUUCUAACUUCUCUUCCCUGUCACUCAAAUAGUUUCCGUUGGUAGAAUAUCGAUUGGUAGGCCCCUGCAUAUCUACUCUUUCAAAUUUUCUCUUUUAUUUCCUUAAAUGUCGAUUCUUAUCUUCUUUUUGUUACCUUUGUUAUGGUGUUCUUUCGGGUUUAAGGAAUUUUUGAGGAGUGGAGGAUUUCUCUAGCGCUGUAGAAACGAUUGGGCCAUUCUCUUUCCUUCUUGACCGAAGGUAAUACUACUCACAGUCAAUGAUCUAAACUGGAAUAUGUUGUCGUGGGUUGGCAUUGGCUGAAUAUGCUUUUCCCUUGUUUGGGGUUUGCAUUUUCUUUAGCCUGAUAACUAUAAAUUCAACCCAUAUGUAUAAGCAAUCUUGAUUACUAAAUUCGCUUUAUAUGCAGAUAACUCUCAAGGAAGGUUGAGAUCCUAUUGUCAAGCGAUUGUUAAAUACCUUGUUUAAUGGUGCUCGUGGGCUGUUCGUAAGAGUUCGUAUUCAGGUGUGUAUUGUAUGCAGUAUUCGAUGAUCAGCUGAAAAGCCGAAACUGUGUGUGUAACUGUACACCGUAAAACAUUACUGUCGUAAAGCCGAAAAGCCAAAAAUACGGUGAUUGAGGCCAUAUGGGCGUGUGAACGCUCGUGUGGUGAAUCGAGCCCACGAAUACAGGUGUUAGACUAUUGAGGCCACCACGAGCGUUCUCGUGAUCUUGGGUCGUUAUGGGCCUCAUUGGGAUGAAAUGGGUCGUGUGGGCCCAAUGGGCUCGUGGGCCCCACACAGAUAAAAUCCAUGUUAAGUGGCAAAUACUAGAUUGGGCUAUAACGUUCACAUACCCGUGACUAAAUUUGGGCUAAAUGGGCCACACGAGCGUGUGGGCCCACUUGGGCCGAAUAUAGGCAUUGGGCCUAUUUCCACCCUUUUGACCAUUUAGGUUAUCUGAGUCACUCGAGGUGACUGUAGACCUUCAAAAAGGUUAUUAACUAACUGUAAUACCCCUAUAGGGUAAAAUGACCAUAAUGCCCCUAUAGGGUAAACUGACCGUAAAGCCCCUGAAAGUAAAUGACUAUUUUGCCCCUCGAGGUCAAAUGAUUGAAUUGUCUGUGGUUAAAUGAUUGAUUUUUAGGGUAAAAUGACCAUAAUGCCCCUUUAAGGUAAACUGACUGUAAUACCCCUGUAGGGUAAAAUGACUGUAAUACCCCUGUAGGGUAAACUGACCGUAAUGCCUCUGUAGGGUAAACUGACCAUAAUGCCCCCGUAGGGUAAACUGACCGUAAUGCCCCUGUGAGGUAAACUGACCGUAAUCCCCCUGUAGGGUAAAAUGACUGUAAUACCCCUGGAGGGUAAAUGACUAUUUUGCACCUCGAGGUCAAAUGAUUGAAUUAUCUGUGGUUAAAUGACUAAUUUGUCUGUGUUUGGUAUGACUGAUUUGUCUGUGAUUUGAAUGACUGAUUCUGAGCAUGGCAUUCUGCAUAGACGAAAUACUGCAUGGGGUUGGGAUACUAUUAUGGAGGAAGUACUGUUCUAGUGGCUCUGCCACAAUCACUGUUACUGGUGGCUUGGCCACAUAUACUAUUACUGGCAGCUUUGCUGCGAUACUGCUGCUGGCAGCUUUGCUGUGAUGCUACUGAUGGCUUUGUGCCAAUCAUAUUACCGUUACUAAUAGCUUUGUGCCGAUCAUAUUACCGUUACUGAUGAAUUUGUGCGAAUCAUAUUACCGUUACUGAUGGCUGUGUACCGGUCAUAUCACUACUACUAAAGGCUUUGUGCCAAUGAUAUUAUUGUACUUAUGGCUUGUAGCCAUUCUGUUUAUAGCUAUCUUGUUUACGGCUCUUAGCCAUGCUGACUACUGGCAGCUAUGUUGCGGCAUUGGUGUGAAGGCUGGGUAGGUCAACUCUGUCCCCACAUGGUGUGUUGGGUUGGUACGGGUAGUGUGAUGGCUGGAUUGGGAUGGGUUUGCAUACUUGCACCAUACUGGUACUGUAUCGGGCUUAGGCCCACACUGUUUUUGUUUUGGGCUAAAUCCCACACUAUACUGUUGCUGAAUAGGGCUCAGGCCCAGACUGUUACUGCAUGUUGUAUGUUAACUAUUUGAGAGGGGAUUACACACUGAGUUUUCUUAAACUCACCCUUUUUUAACCUUUCAAGUAAUCCCCAACGUUAGACAGUUAGGAAUUGCGAGGGACUCAGAAAGGGCCACACAACUGCAUAAGUUUUAUUCUGUUUUUCUCAUUUACUUAAGCAAUUUGGUUUUGAUUCAGGCUAUCAUAAGGCUUCUUUUAAUUUCUGGUCUUUAAUUUGGGAUUUGAUGUGAUUUAUAUCUGCUAGAAGUAGAACACAGGUUUCCAAAAUAAUAAAUUUUUUCAAAACACUACGCUUUCACAACUUAAUCUUUAAACAUCACAUUUUUGUAAAUCGGUUACUUUUAAAUUAAGCUUUCGCAACAAUAAGGUUUUGAAGGUAAUAACUUUUUAAUAAACCUCGAUUGAAAAUAAAAAAAACGUGAACUGAGGUUUUGUACAAGAUUUAAAUGGCAAGAAGUUUGAAAUUUCAAGAAGGCUUUUUAUUGAAAACAUGGUUUUUCGAAAAACUCUUCAAUGUGUCAUGCCAGAUUCGAGCCUAACUUCUAGGUCAGGUUUGGGGCAUUAUAGAUGUAGCAAAUUAAACUAGUUUUCGCAUUUAAGGAGCUUGAAUACAAGUAUUUUCAUUAUGUUUUAGUUAAGUUUUCUUAGUUUUAAUUACAUUCAAUAAAAUGUGCAAAUUAAGUCUUUUAUUAACCUUAAGGGCCGAAUAAGGCCUAAGAGUGAGCUAACACACUUUGUGAGUGUGCAACACAGAUGACUCGAUGUCACAACAUAGGGAACAAAAUGGAGAAAGCUCAAGUUUGCCUUUUAUUUGGCGACACAAACUAAGGGUGUUGCGACAUACCCUUGAAGAUAGCUGAAGAGGAGUAAAUUGAUUGCUAUGUCGCAACAUAGGUACUAGUGUGUCGCAACAACGACUCUGUGAUGGAAAUUAAAUACGAACUAGAAUAAUUUUGGUCUGCAUAAUCAAACCUAAAGCUUAGGAACAUCAGCUAACCUAGGGUUAAGGAUGACGGCCACCUGAAGGCUAUAAAUAGGCUCAUUUGUCACUUGUUAUGGACAUGAUUCCUUUAGCCUAAAUCCUCUUUGUAAAAUUUAGUUUAAUUUUCUUUCGUUCUUAGGGUUUAGAUUUCUAUCAUUUGUUCUUGUUGAUUUAAAGAGAUCUAAAUUGUGGAAGCAUUCAAACUUUAUGGAUUCACAAUUAAUUUGAAUACAAUCAUGCUAUUUCAUUUACUUUAUUUUGUUGAUUUAAUUAGCUUUCUUUCUCUUUAUAUCGAUUUCAUAUUGUCUAUGAAAGCCAUGAGGAACAAAUCCCUCUAUGGGGGGUUAGCGAGUGGAGGUAUGAUCUAUUAACUGUUUUGUAGGGUUACUCAACGAAUUAGCUGUUUGGGAAAGGAAGAACGUAAAAUAAACCCCAGACCUGACAACCUCAGGAAGUCAUCAAGGUGGGAAUUAACCCAAAAUUAGUAUUGCCCAUCCAUGAACACCUUCACCCCAAGUCAAUCUAGACCAUGAGGUCAGAAGAUAAGUAGUUCUUAUUGACUCAUUGUGUUAGUGGAAAAUCGAAAGAUUCUGCUAGGGUAGUGGCUAGUUGAUUGACGAGGAACCCGAAACAAAAGUUGACGGGGAUUACCGAAGCGAGCUAAUCACCCAUAAUCGAGAUUUGAAUAAUUUUACUUUUCUAUCUCUUGAGCUUUUAUUUCUUUUAUGUUAUUAUCUUUUAUUCUAAUUUUUUAUUAUAAAAACCCUUAAACAACCCUUUUUAUGUUUUUGUACUAUAACUGGUUUAAAGUACUAAUUAUAUCUUUUUAGUGUUUAGAUUAGAAUUGACCUAGCACUUGCCUCCCUUGGGUACGAUCCUCGGAGUACUCACCUACUCUGUUGUAAAAGUUAUAUUACAACUCGACCCAUAUACUUGCGGAUAUCACCUCAUAUUUCUAUAUCUUAUUGUAGUAUUCACACUCUGAACGUUAGUACAUCUGGAGGCAGUCAAGUUAUUGGAGCAGUUACUGGGGAGGCAACGUCAUUAGAUUGGUUUUAAUUUUUUCAUUCUAAAAGAAUAAUUAACACUUCUAACAUUUGUUUAUAUUUUAUGAAUCUUAAACACCAUCAACCAAAUAACUAGUCAACACAAAGUCAUGGAUGAAUUUUAUUAUAUGUGGUCUGAUGAAGACUUCGAUUAUGACGAAGAUAUUUACAAAGAAGGAGCCUAUGAAGAUUGAGAGAUCUAGGAGAAUCAACGAUUACUAAUGCUUGAAUUAAGUCAACUCCAAGGAGAAACCCCAGUUCUUCCCCAAGAUGAUAAUGACUACGAUGAUAUGCCAUCAAAAAAGUACCAAGAGGUGCUAAGUCCGAAAUUGAACAGAGAGGAGAAUGUCGUCAUAGACGCUUGCGAAGAAGAAGAACUCUCAGAUUAUUAUCCACUUUAGCAGACAGAAGAAUAUUCAAAUGAAUCAAAUGGGACUUCGGAAAGAGAAUAUAUGGAGCGAAUGGAAUAAAUGGAUAGUGAAUUUGAUAAGCUAUAAAAGUAACAUAUUUUAAUCUCAUUCUUAAUGCAUUUUUUGAUGACUAAUUAGGAAAAUUAGUGAAUUUGAUGCUCCCAAUCCUUUAAAUUCAUGUUUUUAUACUUAGGAGAGCAUUUAGGAGUGAAAAGCGUGAAAAAUCAGCCAAAAUCGGACAAAUAGAUCUGUUUUCAGGAGCCACAUUGCCUGGGCAUUUCCACACUGGCAGGAUAUGCGCCCAUAUGUGCCACACGGGCUGAACACACACCCAUGUGCCAACCCAUGUUGAUUUCGCACCCUACUUUCCAAAUACGUUAAAAAAAUUUUAGGUUUUCUGAGCAUUCUAAAUUCUAUAAAUACCUAUUAGAAGAAGAGAUAAGAGAGCCAUCUAAGAAGAUUGAAGAAAACACUCGAAGAACACCGUCAGAAUCAACUCAGAAGCGAAUCUUCAUCAAGAUCAAAGAUCUCCUUUUAAUUUCUUUCAAAGUUUUAUUGAGUUUCUUUAUGUCUUGUGGUUAUUCUAGCUUUUAGAUGUUUUCAUUUAGGAUUACGAAUUAAUUCCCUAGAUACCUAAGGAGGAUGAAACCUAUGAUGAAUCUUUUUAUUUAAUGUCUAUUUUACACGAUAAAUAUUUUAUUCUUGUUUUCAAUUAUGUAUGCUUAUUUCUUAUUUUAAUAUUUCUGAGAUAUUAAUUCAUGUUUAAUGUGCUUAAUUCAAUGGAGGAAAAGUCCCUGUUUAAGAGUAGAUCUAGCAUAAUUGAGUGGAGUUGCAUGCAAUCCUAGAAAUAAGACGACAUAAAUCUACCAAAUUAGAGUCAAAUCUAAUAGGGGAAUCCAUAAAUCGAGUUAAUGCGACGAUAGGGGUUUUCAUUAAAAAGAGAUUUUAAUUAGUCACCCUAGAGUCAGUUGUUUUUACUAUCGAAAGAGAUAUUAACAUAAUUUAGGGAUUUCUACGAAUCCAGACACAAGUGAAUAAAUCGUUUAAUUCAGAUUCAUAAUAAUAGAUGAAGUCUAGGUGGAUUCUUUCCUGGGUAUUGUCUAUCUCAAUGGUUAAUAUUCGAUUAUUUCCUUGAUCCAUUCCUUGUUGCGUUAUUAGUUAAAUUAGUUUAGUAAAUUUAAAUUAAAACGCAUCAUUCCAAAUUAUCGACUAAAUAAUAGAAAAACAGUAAUUAAUAAUACCUAUAGUCCUCGUGGAUACGAUAUUUUCUACUCACCAUAGCUAUACUAUUGUUCAAUUGUUGCACUUGCCUUUGUCGUAUUUAUAAUUAGUUUAGUGACCAUCAGAAUCAAAUAAUCAAGUAGACAAGGAACCCAUCAUCUUAGAAAUCUCAGGUAAUAUCGACGAAACUGAACUAAAAGAAUAAUUUAAUAUAGACCGACCAACAAAGACAAUGAUAGUUAGGACAGAGUUAAUAAAAGAAUGCCUAACGAUUUGAAAUUCACAAACAAAAAGAAGCAAAACCAGCAGUCCCAGAGGAUAAACUUGAAUUGACCAGCCUCUUCACAUCCUUAGAUAUAAAUUAAGCACCCGAGAAGUUUAUAGAUCCAAGAAUUUGCCAGAUGUUGAAAAGAGUGGGAAAAAUAUAUAUUGACAGAACAUAUGAUCAUAUAGCAAGUUUCAAUCAAAUUAAACAAUCAAUGUGUAUAAGCAUUGAGCUUCAACCAUUACAGAGUGUUCGAUUCUUAUGAGAACCAUUAAAGGGAAUUAUCUACAGGCCGAUGGAUGAAUUUAAAAGUCGACAGAAGCACAACUUCAAUAGCGCAAUUCAAUAAUUUAUCCCUAUCCCUCUACGAAUCGCCUUAAAAUGUACUCUUGAAAAGCCAUACCUGAUCAAUGAGAAUGACAGAAACACUAUAGAAAAUAAUUGGAACCGUGAUUCUCAACAUUUUUCAAAAGCAUGAAUGCUAAACACCGAUUAAAGCAGUUGUCUGGGUAUGUGGCUUUGCAAAUCAAUAAUAGUUAUGACCUACAAAAAGAGUUGUCGGUCGUUAAAGCAAGCCGAAAAGGUAAAUUCAAAGAAAGAGACAACCAAAGAUGAAUAAAAUGGCAUGAUGGGUGUUGGACUAAUACAAAUAGAAACAAAUCACAAAAAUUACCCCGGUGCAUAUUGACUGAGCUGACGGACGAGUUCGGCAGCAAAACCUAACAUUUUUUCAUUGUUUGAUUAUUACUGUAAUAGCCCGUUUUUAGAUGUACUGGUAGCAAUAAAAUGUAUGAAGAUUUGAAACAAAUGUUCUAGUGGCCAGGUAUGAGACUCGAGAUUUCAGAGUUUGUAUCGAAAUGUUUGAUUUGUUAGCAAGUUAAAGCCAAGCAUCAGGUACCUUCUGUUUCAUUACAACCUCUGAUGAUUCCAGAGUGGAAAUGGUAACAUGUUAUAAUGGAUUUUGUAUCGGGAUUGCCUCUAUCUCCGAGAAAGAAAGAUACUAUCUAGGUUAUUGUAGAUCGUUUGACGAAAUCCGUGUAUUUUAUUCCAUUGUGCACGGAUUAUUCACUUGAAAUCCGUGUAUUUUAUCUAGAUUAUUGUAUGUUUCUGAGAUUGUUAGACUACAUGGUGUACCAUUUUCUAUUACCUCUAAUAAGGAUCCAUGGUUUACUUCUCAAUUCUGGAGUAAAUUACAUAAAGCUCUGGGCACUCGACUGCAUUUCAGUACAGCAUUUCAUCGACAAAAUAAUGGUCAAUCUGAGUGAGUGAUUUAUAUACUUGAAGAUAUGCUACGAUGUUGUGUUUUAGAGUUCAAAGGUAACUGGGAGAAAUAUCUUUUAUUGGUUGAAUUUGCAUACAAUAAAAAUUAUCAAACGAGCAUUAAAAUGGCACCGUACGAAGCUUUGUAUAGUCUAAAAUGUAGAACUCUAUUAUAUUGGACUGAUCUGAGCAAGAAAAAUUUAUUCGGUGUUGAUUGAAUUAAAGAAACCGAAGAAAAGGUCAAAGUGAUACGAGGCAGUUUAAAGACUGCUUCUAAUCGUUAGAAAUCUUACGUGGAUUUGAAAAGAAAAGAUAUAGAACUUCAAGUCGACGACAAAGUAUUUCUAAAAGUAUCACCUUAAAGAAAAGUUAUCCGUAUUAGCCGAAAAGGAAGCUUAGUCCACGAUUCAUCAGGCAGUAUGAGAUCAUCGAGAGGAUUGGACUAGUGGCUUAUCGAUUGGCAGUAUGAGACCAUCGAGAGGAUUGGACUAGUGGCCAAAAAUUCAUAACGUGUUCCAUGUUCGAUGUUACGAUGGUAUCAAUCAGAUCCUUCACACGUAAUAUCACUUGUGGAUGUUGAGAUUCAACUAGAUAUGUCAUACAGUGAAGAGCCGAUCAGGAUUUUAGCUGGGGAAGUUAAAUAGUUGAGAAAUAAAAGUUUAGCUUUAGUUAAAGUUCUCUGGCAACAUCACAGAAUCGAAACAUCUGCCUGGGAACUAGAAGAAGCUAUGAAAGUGCAAUACAUGAACCUAUUUUUUGGUAAGAUUUUUCAGAGGCGAAAAUUCCUUUAGGGUGAAAGUUCUAAAAACCCGUUUUUAGUGAUGUCGAAAACAGUGGUUUUGGGACCACAAUUCUAAUGAGUAACUUAUUUUUUUAUUUUUUAUUUAGUGUUUACGGGAUAUUAGUAUUAAAGUUUCGUUAAGAAAUUUUGAUGUUUGAAUGAUUAAUUAAGUAAAAAGGACUAAAUCGUAAAAGGUAUAAAAUUUAAGUUCUAGGAGUUAAAAGGGCUAAAAGAUUAUGGAAUGGAAAUAAAAUGGAUUUAAAUGGUAAUUAAACCAUUUGAUGAAUUAGGGGAUAGUUAUGGAUAUGAAAUUAUGAUAAAUUUUAAAGGUUAAAAUGGUAAAUAAAGCUAAAAUAACUAAGAAAUUUGUUCAUCUUCUUCAUUUUCACACUUUACCACUGAAAAUCACCAUUGAAGGAUUGGGUUAGGUUCAGCCAAGCUCUCUUUGGUGCAUGUAAGUGAUUUCAAGCCCCAUUUUUAAUGACUUUUAUGUUUUUGAGUCUGUUUUAGCUUAAUCUAGCGAACUCGAGGGUUAAUUUGCAAGUUUUUUAAAGGUUGAGGGUCUUUUCAUGAAUAUUUUUGAAUGAUUUUUUAUGUUAUUUUAUAUAUUAUGAAUCUUGGUUGAAAAAUAAACAAGUUUUGUUAAGUGGUUUUUGAUAAAAAUGGCAAUUAGGGAUUAACUUGUUAAAAUGUGAAACUAUAGGUUUUAUUGUGAAAUGGUGGUAAAUAUAAGUUAUUUCAAGGUCCCUUCUAUAUGUGAUUAAUUUGGAUUUAAGUUACAAUGGUUAAAUUGCAAGAUAUGGACUUAGGGACUAAAUUGUAAAAAGUUAAAAUGUUAGGGGCAAAUUGAUAAUUUUGCAUAAAUAUGAAAUGUGAAUUAAAUUGAGCACUAGAAAUAUUUAAUUUAUUGAAAAUACCUAUUUAGAUCAAGAUAAACCACGUUCGAACUUAGAUCGAGGAAAAGCUAAAGCUUUAGAUUAAUUCGAUCUAACUUUUAUGCCCCUAGUCAUCAAGGUAAAUUCGUAUGAACUGUAUUCGGUUUAAUGUUGUUUAAAUUGAAUCAUCAUUGUGUUGUUUUAAUGUCAAUCCAUCAAUAUAAAAAUGUAUCAAUGCUAUGAUGAAUUGACAAAAAUAGAGUCCCGGUUGAACCUUAAGAAUUCUUAGGAUACAAAUGACAUGUCAUUAGGGAUUUAAUGUUUCGGGUGCUGGUCUUGAAUGUCCUACCAAUGGCUGAGGUCCUGCAUUUGUUGCGGAUACUCUACAGCUUGUGUGAGCAGCAUCGUGUAGCUUACAUUCCGACCCACAACUCGUGUAAGCAGGCCCAUUUCACAGCUCGUGUGAUCAAUGAUGGAAAGGAAAUGUUAUGGUUAUAUGUAAAGGCACACUUUGUGUGAGCUUUCCCGAGUAUCCAAUGAAAUUCUAGAUGGUUCAACAAGCAAGAAAAGGGAACGGAAUGGUAAGUAUGAAAUUGAAAUGAAUCAUGACAUUAUGGUACAUUGAUGAACCAAAAUGUUAUGUUUAUACAUGGUAAACCACAUAUCUUAUGGUUGAUUAUAUAUAUAUCAUGAUCAAGGAUACUAACUUAUGAGUUUUAUGAUGUUGCAUAGGCUCAUACUAAGCUUAUGGCAUUGGUGUUGAGUUAUGUUUAAUCUAUGAAUUGUUUAAUAGAAAUAGUAAGUUGUGAUUAAGUUUAUACGAGCUUACUAAGCCCCAUUGCUUACGUAGUUUCCUUUCCUUUGUUUUAUAGAUCAUCAAGAGCUUGAUUUGGUUGGAAACUCGUUAGAGACCUAUCACACUAUCGAGCAGUUGAUUUGGUAGUUUUUGAGCAUUUUGGCCAAGGUUUAUAAUGGCAUGUAUAGGGUGGUUAUAAUUGUGUUUUGAUGAAUAUGUAGAUGGUAAUUUGGUAUGUUUGUGCCUUGAUGUUUAUAAAUGGUUGAUGUUUAAGUAAGUCCUUUUGGUCACUUUGUGGUGACUAGUGUAUAUGGCAUUUUGGGUAUAAGAUGUUGGUGUAGAAAUAGUCAUUUAUGGUGUGUUUUAAGCACAUAAUAGAGUGAGGUAUUUAUGCAUUGAAAUAGGUAAGGUUAUCAUGUUUAGGUAAGUGAUGUUUGGAUAUAAUUGCAGUGCCUUUGAAGGGCAUAUUGGUUAAUUGAAUUAGGGCCUUUGAAAUGGUAACUUUAUGUAUGUUUGAAUGGUGUUUAUGUCCUUCGGAAGUGUGAACAAUUGGAAUGAAUGUUUAUGCGUAGUUAGGGUAUGAAAUGGCUUGAUUACAGGUAAAUUUUAGGUUCACAGAGUUUAGCACAUGAGCGUGUGACACAGUCGUGUGAGGCACACAACCUGGCGACAUAGUCGUGUGUCAUUUGAGAGUUCCUUUGUAUUCAAGUCAGUGAGUUUCACAACUUAACACACGACCUAGCACACGGGCUUGUGGGGCAAUUCAAAGAGUUACACGGCCUGGCACACUAGUGUGUAACACAGCUAUGUAACCCUACUUAGAGAGGUACACGUGAGAGGACACAGGCUAAGACACGACCGUGUGUCCCUUGUUCAGAUAUUACACUGUCUAGGGUGAUUCUAACGGCCGGGGGUGAUUCCGCAUGACCUGGCCAGACAGCCGUGUAACCCCUAUUUUUAAAUUUCGCUAAUUUUUUCCUAAAUUUCCUGUUUUGUUUCAAAACAGUCCCAAAUUGUUCCUAAGCUAUUUUUAGGGCCUUAAGGGCUCGAUUUAGGGAUGAAAUGUAUGAGAAUGAAUGGUUUUGUGAUAUAUUUAAAUUAUUGAAUGCUAUGACGUUUUAAGGUUUCCAGUUGAUCGGUAAUAUUCCGUAACCCUAAUCCGGUGACGAAUAUGGGAAACAAGUGCUUGAAGCGUUCUGAAGAUUGGAAAUUUGGGAAACAAGUUCAACGUCGGGAUACAGACAAUUUUGUGUCACAACAUCAUAAGCAGAAACGAAAAAAGUUCAAAAAUCAACUCGAUGUCACGAUAUCACUAACCUGUGUCACAACAUAGAAGACAGUUUCUCAGAAUUUCAAAACUGCAAGGUGUGUCACGACAUCGAGUCCUAGUGUCGCGACAUGAAGUAGUCUGCUAAGGAUGUCGCGACACGGAACCCCUAUGUCGCGACAUCGCGGCAAUUGUCUGCAGUCUCAACCUGACCCAAUUGCAUAACCGGCUAUUUUAACCCUUCAUUUACCUAGUUUUUAACACUUAAAACCUUUGUUUUAACCCUAAAAACACAUCAACCUCAUACUCUAAACCUUUUUAAACCAUUAACUUCUUCUAUAAACCUUAAAACCUUAAAACCCUUUUUCCAUUUUAAACCUUAAAACACAUCAACCUCUCAUUAUAAUCUUUCAAGCUUUAUUUGGAGUAUUCAUCAAGUCCUUGGAGGAGUAACAAAAGUAUUUUCCAAGAAGUUGAGGUUAAGUAAUCCUUUCUUCAUACUACUAUUAUAUUAUUCACUAUUUUGUAAGAAAUUUCGAUUAUAAAAUGCCUCCUAGAAAGAACAAGAUAACUAUGGUUCAAGAAACAUCGAGGGUUUCGGACUCAUCUCGAUUUCAUAAUGUUAAUAUGGAAAAUUAUUUUCUUGAGUUGCAAGGGAGACCAUUGAUCCAAGAAUGAGGGUUUGAACCCUUCAUGGUCAACUGUAACGAAAUUUAGACUUUGGUUUGUUACCAUCAAUAGGACCAGUUCUGCAUUACUCCCAUGAAUAAUGCAAUCAUACCUGUGGUUCAAGAAUUUUAUGUGUCCCUUAAGGAUCAAGUGAUUAAACGAGGCUAUAAUGCAGUGAUAACUGAUGUUGAAGUAAGAGGGGAAGAUGUUCCAAUCUCCCGUAAUGAUAUUUGUGAAUUUUAUAACAUUCCAUUUUAUGAAAAAGAUUUUAUUAAUACUACUGAUUUAGAAAAUUUUCAAAAUAUCAACAUGGAAGAUGUUAUAAAAUAUUUAACACAAGGUAGGGUAGUUGGAACUACAGGCCAGACUCAGAGCUUCCAACGAAUUUCAAUUGGGCCAUUAUGUUUCCUGUUACUAAGAUGUGGAUGCAAUUCAUUGGCACUAUAAUUUCACCCAUGUUGAAUGUUUCUAACAUUAACGUCUUUCGAGCUAUUUUGUUAUAUGGUAUUCUACAGCAUAAAUAGAUCUGUGUAGGGCGCUAGAUCUUUCAAGAAAUGAAACGGUGUGCACAGAGACAGAAAGUUGGACUCUUCUUCCCCCAUCUCGUAACAAUAGUAUGUCACUAGAAAGAAGUGUCAAUGAGUGUAAACGACUGCCCGUCGGUUUGCGAAUGAAAUGCAGUACUGAAACUAAGCUGUGUACCCAAAAACUCAUGUAAUUGCCUCCAAAAUCUCAAUGUCAACCGAGGAUCCCGAUCUGAGAUUAUCGAUAUCGGAAUAUCAUGCAAUCUCACAAUCUCUCAGAUAUAUACUUCAGCUAGUUUCUACAAUGACCAAUCAGUUUUGACUACUAUGAAGUGUGCUGACUUGGUAAGUCUAUCAACUAUCACCCAAAUGGAAUUCUUCUUACUUGCUGAAAAUGGUAAUCCUGUAACAAAAUCCACUGUGAUACGAUCCCAUUUCCACUCCGGAAUACUGAUAGGUUGAAGCAGAUCUGUCGGUACCUGAUGUUUCUCUUUGACCUGCUGAAAUGUCAAACAUUUACCAACAUACUCGACCAUAGCCCUUUUCAUUCCUGGCCACCAGUAUAGUUCUCGUAAAUUCAGAUACAUUUUCGUUCCACCAGGGUGCAAUGCGAAAGGGUUACCUUGUGCUUCUCGAAGAAUCAACUCUUUAAGCUCAAAAGUAGUUGGAAUACAAAUCUGAUUUUAGAAUCUCAAACAAUCAUAAUCAUCAACACUAAAAAUAUUUUUCGGGCCAUUCUGUGCAAUCUCUCUCUUUUUUAACAACCUAUCAUCUUCCAACUGUGCCGAUCUAAUCAAACAUUACCAGCUUUACUCUCAACUUGACCAAAAGACUCCCAUUAUCACUGAUAUAGAGCCGUGCAAACAUUGUUCUUAAUUCUAUUGCAGCUUUUCUACUUAGUGCAUUACCUAUAAUGUUUGCCUUUUCCAAAUGAUAAUCUAUGACAUAAUCAUAAUCUUUCAGAAGCUCAAUCCACCGUCAUUGUCUAAAAUUCAACUCCUUUUAUGAUAGAAGGUAUUUGAGAUUUUUAUGAUCGGUAUAUAUAUAACAUUUUUCACCAUAAAGAUAAUGCCUCCAAAUCUUUAAUGCAAAAAUUACAGCAGCUAGCUCCAAAUCAUGAGUCGGAUAGUUACGCUCGUGUGGUUUUAAUUAUCGAGAUGCAUAGGCUAUUACCUUCCCGUCCGGCAUCAACACACAACCCAGACCAUUUAAAGAAGCAUCACUAUAUACUACAAAAUCCUUACCCGAUUCUGGUAAUGUCAGAACUGGUGCCUCAAUUGACAUUUGCCUCAAUGUUUCAAAACUUCUCUGGCACUGAUCAUCCCAGAUAAAAGGAACAUUCUUUUGUAGUAACUUGGUCAUCGGCAAAGCUAUCUUCGAAAAUUCAUUCACAAAUCUUUUGUAAUACCCAGCUAAACCAAGAAAACUGCAUACCUCAGAUACAUUCUUCGGUGCUUUCCACUGAACAAUUGCUUCAAUCUUCUUCGGAUCAACUCUGAUUCUAUCUGUCGAUACCACAUGUCCCAAAAAUACAACUUCUGAUAACCAGAACUCGCAUUUGCUGAGCUUUCCAUAUAGCUGCUUUUCCCGUGAAUCUGUAGCAUAAUCUUGAGAUGCUGAUCAUGUUCUGACUCUGACUUUGAAUAGACCAAUAUAUCAUCAAUGAAGAAUACCACAAAUUGAUCCAAAUAUGGAUGGAAAAUAUAGUUUAUUAAAUCCAUAAAAGCAGUUGGAGCAUUAGCUAACCCGAACAGCAUCACCAAAAAUUCAUAAUGACCAUACCGAGUACAAAAUGCAGUCUUUGGCACAUCACUUUCUUUUACCUUCAACUGAUAAUAUCUGAAUCUCAAGCCAAUUUUUGAAAAUACUAAGGCUCCCUUCAAUUGAUCAAACAAAUCGUCGAUGCAAGGCAAUGCAUACUUAUUUUUAAUUGUUACCUUGUUCAACUGCCGAUAAUCAAUACAUAAUCGCACUGAUCCAUCUUUCUUCUUAACGAAUAAUACCGGAGCUCCCUACGGUGAUAUGCUUGGUUGAAUAAAGCCACGGUCUAACAAAUCCUGUAAUUGUAUUUUUGUAAUACCCCCUAACCCCAAACCGUCACCGAAACAAGGUUACGAGGCAUUACCAGUCAUUUCGGGUAAUUUACAAAUAAUUCUUAAAUAAAUAACAAACAUAUAUAAAAGAAUCAUAAAUUCAUAUAAAUUUAUACUACUUGGCUUCAUUUUUUCAAUUUAUUAUUCAAUAUAACCUCUUUAUAAUGAUUGAACCUUCCCUGCAAAUUUCAAAUCGCAACCAAACCAAUUCCAGUAUUCAACCAAUACAUUUAUAUACUCAAAUAUACUUAAAUCAUACUUGACAUAUUGACCUAACAACUUAAUUAAUGAAAACCCUAUUAACAUUUCUAAUUAGUUCAUCAACUAUUCAAGCCAUUCCAAUUCAAUACCAAUGCCAUAAACAAUUUCUACCAUUUUACUAAUUUAAUCAUCAAAACACCAAAUAUCUUUCUUUACAACAAAAUUAUAUAACAUACUAAAAUAACCAUUAUAAUCCCUAUGUACAUGCCACUUUCACUUAAAGGAAGAAAACAUCACCAAAAUCUUUAUGUUGGAGUUGGUAUUGUCCUGGAUGCUGAACCGAGACUCUGACUCCUUUUUAACCUGCGUACGGAAACAACCGUACGCUGAGUAUUUUAUACUCAGUGGUAUUACCAUAAUUCAAAUUAUAAUAGCAAUAAAGAAAUAGAAUUACCAAGCAUGUAACUAUCCAUCUUCUUAAUUAUCAAUUAAUUCUUAAACUUUCAUCAAUUAACAAUAACAAUAAAAUUUAUAGCUAUUCUUCAAUUUCAAUCACAUAUCACAUGUAACAAUUUCAAUCACUACUUGAACAUUAAGUUCAUGCCUUUUGUUUUCAAUCUCAAUUUCAAUCCACAAUUUUAAAUUUCCUCAUAUUCAAUACUACAAUCGAUCAAAUUCAUUUAAUUUUCUCAUUUCAAUUAUUCACCCUAUUAACAAUCUGGACUUUGACGGAUACACAGAUUCCAACCCAAAAACACCAGUACGGCACAUUGUGCCUAAAAUGGUACAUAGUACCUGAUCAGUAUACGACACAUAAGUGCCUGAAACGACACACGAUGUAACACCCCUAACCCGUAUUCGUCGCCGAAUUAGGGUUACGAGGCAUUACCAAACAAACAUACAUAUAUUAUAUAUAUAUAUAUAUAUUUAAAAAUAAUACGCUUGGUCUAAUAUAAAACAAAAUGCAAAAUUUUAAACUUCUCUCUUCUAACCAUUUUUAAAUUAAAAAAAACAUUAAAAUCUAACUAACUAACAAAUCCAUAAGAAAAUAAACCAUUUUAGUAUGCCUAUUAUAAUCAUAUACAAUACAACAAAAUACAACCUUCAAAACAUUUAUCUAGUCUAUACAUGCCAUAGUUAGAAUUUAAUAUUUUAAAUACCAAAAUAAUAGAUAGGGUGAUGAACUUGCUGACAAUCCCUGAGCUUGAAGCUUGAUCUUUAAGUCUAUAAAAUAGGAAGACAUAAGUAAACAAAGUAAGCUUUUAUAGCUUAGUAAGUCUAUAGCAUAACUACAAAUAUAUAUAUAUAUAAAUAUAUAUAAAAAUUAUAGAAUUUCCUGAUACACUAAAUGAAUUCACAAACACUGUGUAUAUUAACAAAUACUUAUAGAUAAAUGCAUACAUAAUUAUCAACAAUUUAAACUGAAUGUAUAUACACAUUUACGUAAAUAUUCGAUUGCAUAUAUAUAUAAACAUAUGUUUAACAAUUUUUAUAACCGAAUGUGUAUACAUCUUUAUUACCUGCAUACAUCCGAAUGCACAUAUAUACCAAUCACAUUAUAUAAUCGUUUGUAUAUAUAUAUAUAUACUCAUUAUAAAUUUAUACCUGAAUGCAUAGCUAAUAUCUACAUUCGAAUAUAUAUAUAUAUUCUUCAUAUACAUAUAAAUGAGAACAUUUAUAUAUAUAUAUAUAUAUAUAUAUCUCAAAUGCAUACAUAAAUAAUUAUCAAACACAUAGGCUCAAUAUAUAUAUAUUUAACAACCGCAUAUCACCAUAUGUAAUUAUAAAUUCAACAAUCGCAUAUUACCUAAUAUACAUAUGCUUUUAUUAAUUGUAUAUACCGAAAGCAUACAAUUAUAUUUAGCCAAUGCAAAACCCGAAUGUAGGUGUAUACUUACCAAGUAUGUACAAACUGAAUGUUUAUGUAUUCAUCAAUUUCAUAUAAUCAAAAUCAUAGAUAUAUCAAUUGCAUAUUCUCACAUAAUUUAAACAAAUUCACCGGCACUUAGCCUGCUAGGUUUUAAAACCUGAUUCAGUACACCGGCUCUUAGCCUACUAGACCUAUAGUCCGAAAUGUAUCACCGGCAUUAAGCCUGCUAGACGUAAAAUCUGAAUUAUUUCAUCAGCAUUAAGCCUGCUAGGCACAUAGCCUGAAUAACUGAGAUACAAAGUUAAUCUUUCAUAUAAAUCUUUAUAAUACACAUAAAUCUUUCUCAAUAACUAUAUCUCGAUAAGAAUUGUUUUAUAUUCAACUCUUCAUAGCAACCUCACAUUCGAACCACAUAUACAUGAUUCAUAACAUUAAAUUCAACUCAAGAAACUCAAAUCCUAUUUUCGAUUCACAUGUAUAAUUAUAUAUAAUUAUUAACAUUAAAUUCAGCUCAAAGAAACUUUUAUCUUACAUUCUAACCUCUUUUAUAUAUAUAUAUAUAUAUUUCAUAACAUUACAUUNNNNNNNNNNNNNNNNNNNNNNNNNNNNNNNNNNNNNNNNNNNNNNNNNNNNNNNNNNNNNNNNNNNNNNNNNNNNNNNNNNNNNNNNNNNNNNNNNNNNUGCAUCAUUUAUUCGAACCACAUACAUACAUACAAUUUAUAUCAUUAAAUUCAACUCAAAGAAUUUGUAUUAUACAUUCGAACAUCAUCAUAUAUUUAUAUAAUUUAUGCUAUUAAUUUCAUCUUAUUAAAAUCAAACAUGCAUGAUAUAACAUAUACAAUAUUUGUAAAAUAAAAUUUCAACCUACCAAUUUCAACUUGUAUAUUCGGCUAACAAUAUGAAAAUAACAAAGUUAAUUCAACUUAUUAAAUGAAUGAUAGAUUUCAAUAUAUAUAUAUAUAUAUAUUCUAGUUUAAUAACAUUAUUUUCUUAAUAGACUUACCUCGGAUGUCGUCGACCAUUAAAUCAGCUAUUCGACCACCUUUGUCUUUCCCCGAUCCAAAUCUGUUUUCUUUAAUUCUUGAUCUAAACAUAUUCAAUUUAAGCUUAUUUCAACACCAUUCUAUUCAAUUUAGCCUAAAAACACAUAAAUGGGCAAAUUACAAUUUUUCCCCAACAUUUCACACUUUUUACAAUUUAGUUCUUUUUGCUCAAAACACAAAAUACACAAAAUUUGACUACACUCCUUUAGGGCUGAAUAUUCCUAGUAUCUUUACAAGCCCACACAUUUCAUUUAUUUCACAUUUUAACCCCUCAAAAAUUUAUUUUUAUAAUUUAACCCUAAUUACUCAAAUUCAUCAAAAAUUCAAAGACAAAACAUAUUACUCUUUCACAUAUCUUUCAUAUUUCAUCAUCACCUAUCACAAAGGUCAAGCAUUCAUCAAUGGUACAUUUCAAAAUCAUCAACAAUUCAUAAAAUUAAGGCAUGGGUUUUAAAGUAUUCGAAGCAACGAUCUCAAAAACGUAAAAAUUAUCGAAAACCGAACAAAAACGAACCUUGAAUUUAAGCUUGAAUAUGGCCGAAACUUGACUAAGCUUUAAUGGCUUUCUUCCUUCUUGGUUUCGGCUAAGAAAGAUGAUAAUAAUCUAAUGUUUUUAUGCUUUUAACUAUCUUAUAUUAUAAUAUUUGUUAAUUACUAAUUUAGCCUUAUUUAAAUAAAUAUAACUUAUAUAUAUAAUAAGGUUAGUUUUGUCCUUAGCCAUCCACUAACUAUUUAGUGGUCUAAUUGCAUGUUUAAACCUUCCAAAUAAAAAGACAACAAAAAAUAGAUACUUUUAGCUUUAACCCCUAAAUUUUUAUUUUUACGCGAUUAAGUCCUUUUUAUUUAAUCAGUUACUCAAACAACAAAAUUUAAACACGAAAAUUUCACACAAUCAAAUUCACACAUAGUAAACUCCCAAAGUAAUAUUAAAAUAUUUUUUGACUCAAAUUUGUGGUCCCGAAACCAUUAUGUCCGAUUAGGGUCGAAAUCGGGCUGUUACAACUCUUCCCCCCUAAAGGAAUUUUCGUCCGCGAAAAUCUUACCAGUGAAUAGGUUUGGGUAACAUUCUUUCAUUGUAUCCUCUUGUUCCCAAGUUGCUUCUUCAACUCUGUGUUUAUGCCACAGUACUUUUACUAACAGAAUUUUCUUAUUUCGUAACUCUUUAACUUCACGAGCCAGAAUGGAAUUGGUUCUUCUUUGUAUGAUAUAUCGGACUUAAUUUCAAUCUCUUUCGGGCUAACCACAUGUGAAGGAUCGAAUUGAUAUUUACGAUGCAUCGAAACAUGAAAUACAUUGUGAAUCUUUUCUAGCUUAGGUGGCAACAAUAAUCUAUAAGCAAACAGUCCGAUACGUUCUAUAACCUCAUACGGUCCAAUGAAUCUCGGACUCAAUUUGCCUUUACGAUUGAAUCUGAGUAUUUUUCUUCCACGGUGAAACUUUCAGAAACACUUUGUCCCCGAUUUUAAACUCUAUAUCUUUUCUUUUCAAGUCUGCAUGCAAUUUCUGACGAUCCGAUGCUGUUUUCAAACUAUUCUAAAUCACUUUCACUUUUUGCUCGGUCUCUUUAAUCAAAUCAACCUUGUAUAUUUUAUUUUCACUGAGCUCCGAACAAUACAAUGGUGUACGGCAUUUAUGACCAUACAAAGCCUCAUAAGGUGCCAUUUUGAUGCUAGACUAAAAGCUAUUAUUAUACGCAAAUUCAAUCAAGGGCAAGUAUUGUUCCUAUGUACCCUCAAACUCGAGAAUACAACAUCUCAACAUAUCCUCAAGUAUCUGAAUGAUUCGUUUGAACUGACCAUCUAUUUGCGGAUGGAAAGUUGUGCUAAAGUGUACUUUCGUACCUAAAGCAUCUUGCAGUUUCUUCCAAAACCACGAUGUAAACCUCGGGUCUCUAUCCGAAACAAUAGAAAUAGGUACACUAUGUAAUCUCACAAUCUGAGAAACAUAUAACUCAGCUAAUUUAUCAAGUGAAUAAUCUGUGCGAACCGGAAAAAAAAUGUGCCGAUUUAGUUAAUCUAUCCACAAUAACCCAAAUUGCAUCUUUCUUGCUCGGUGUUAACGGUAAACCAGAUACAAAAUCCAUUGUGUCUCUGUCCCAUUUCCAUUCAGGUAUCAUGAUCGGCUGAAGCAAUCCAAAAGGUACUUGAUGCUUGGUUCUUACUUGCUAACAUAUUAAACACUUUGAAAUAAAGUUAGAAAUGUCUUGUUUCAUACCGCGCCACCCAUAGUGUUGUUUUAGAUCAUUAUACAUUUCUGUUUCGUUUCUUCUUUUGUUUCUUUUAUUCUUUUAUUUUAUUUCUUUUAUGUAUUAGUUAAUAAUAAUAUAAUAAUAUUUAAUUCACAAAUAUCUUUUACUUAAAUUAUAAGAAAAUAUUUUAUUUUAUUACAAGUGUGUUUUUAUUUAUUUUACACAUGUAUUAUUUUAUCACCAUACAAUUGUCUUCAUCUAAUUUAUUUCCUAUAAUAUAAUAUCCUAACUUUAAUUAAUAUAAUUUAUAAUAUUUUAAUUAAAUAAUAUUUUUAUAAUAUAAAUCAAGAAAAAUCUAAGAUUUUUUCAUGUAUUGCCGCCUAAUCUUAAGCCAUUGGCUUAUUUACCUAUUUGGUCCCUAUUUCUUCUUUCUAUUCUACAAUUAAACUUUUAACCUUUAUUCACUUUAGUCUCUUCUUACUAAUUACUCUAAAUUGGGAUAAAUUUAGUUAAUUAAAACAUAAUUAAACAAACCACUAGACUCAUAAAUAUUUCUAAUAAUUAUCUACAGGUUCAAUUUUCUAAUACGGAGGCCUAAUACUACUCUUUUUCGAUGCCCAUGAAUUUUGGGUCAUUACAUUGACGAAAUUUACCUAAGAAAAGAUGAGGAUAUUGUGCUUUCAUCGUCUCUUCCGAUUCCCAAGUCGCUUCUUCUACACUAUGACUUCUCCAUAAAACUUUUACUAAAGGAAACCGUUUAUUUCUUAAUUCUUUCACUUCUCGUGCUAAUAUCUGAACCGGCUCUUCUUCAUAAGUCAAAUUAGAUUGAAUUUCAAUGUCUUCAAUGGGAAUAACAUGAGAAGGAUUUGAUCUAUAUCUCCAUAGCAUCGAAACAUGAAAAACAUCAUGAAUUUUCUGUAAUUCUGGAGGUAAAGCCAAUUGAUAGGCAACCGGUCCGAUUCUUUCCACAAUCUCAUACGGCUCAAUAAAACGUGGACUCAAUUUUCCCUUCCGACCAAAUCUCAAUUUUUUUUCCACGGAGAAACCUUAAGAAAUAAUUUGUCCCCGAUUGAAUAUUCAAUGUCUCGAUGUUUUAAAUCAGCAUAAGAUAUUUGUCUGUCAAAGGCAUCUUUCAGUCUAUCUUUAAUCUUUUUAACUGUUUCCUCUGUCUCUUGAAUUAAUUUCGGCCCAAUCACUUUUCUUUCUUUUAAUUCUGUCCAACAUACUAGUGAUCGACACCUUCGACCAUAAAGUGCUUCAUACGGAGCCAUCUGAAUACUAGAUUGGAAACUAUUAUUAAAAACAAAUUCUGCUGUGGCAGAUAUCGUUCCCAACCUCACGCAAAGUCGAUGAUACAAGCUCUCAACAUAUCUUCCAAAAUCUGAAUUACCCGCUCGGAUUGUUCGCCAGGUUUUGGAUGAAAUGCAAUACUAAAAUUGAGUCGAGUUCCCAAUGACUCAUGUAAUUGCUUCCAAAAUCUCGAUGUAAACCAAGGGUCCUGAUCUAAAAUUAUCGAUACUGGAAUACCAUGUAAUCUAAAAAUUUCCCGAAUAUAAACCUCGACAAGCUUUUGUAUUGACCAAUCGGUUCUAACUGCUAUAAAAUGAGCUGACUUUGUGAGUCGAUCGAUAAUCACCCAGAUGGCAUUCUUUUUACUCACUGACAAUGGCAAUCCCGUAACAAAAUCCAUGGUAAUGCAAUCCCAUUUCCACUUGGGGAUAGUAAUAGGCUGUAACAAACCUGUUGGUACCUGAUGUUCUGCUUUUACUCGCUAACAACUCAAACAUUUACCGAGAUAUUCAACUAUAUUUUUCUUCAUUCUUGGCCACCAAUGUAGUUCUCGUAGAUCAUGAUACAUCUUCAUUCCACCAAGGUGCAAAGCAAAAUUACUAUCAUGUGCUUCUCGGAGAAUUAGCUCUUUAAUCUCAGAAGUAGCUGGGAUACAAAUCCGAUUCCAAAACCUUAAACAAUCAUGCUUAUCAAUACUAAAAUUUUCCAUCGUACCAUGCUGUACCAUUUCCCUUUUCUUCAUUAUCUUCUUAUCUUCCAUCUAAGCUGCUCUAAUUUGAUCAAACAUUACUGGCUUAACUUUUAAUUCAACUAACAAACUUCCAUCAUCAUUGAUACUAAGCCGAGCAAACAUUGCCCGUAAUUCAACCGCUGCUUUUCUGCUCAAUGCAUCUGCUACCACGUUUGCCUUUCCUGGAUGAUAAUCUAUAACACAAUCAUAAUCUUUCAGAAGUUCUAUCCAUUGCCUCUGUCUCAGAUUCAACUCCUUUUGUGACAAAAGAUAUUUAAGACUUUUAUGAUCAGUGUAAAUAUAGCAUUUCUCACCAUACAAGUAAUGCCUCCAAAUCUUCAAUGCAAAAAUUACAGCAGCUAACUCCAAAUAGUGUGUCGGGUAGUUGCGUUUAUGUGGCUUCAACUGUCGAGAUACAUAAGCUAUUACUUUUCCAUCCUGCAUCAAUACACAACCCAAACCAUUCAAAGAAGCAUCACUGUACACUAUGAAAUCUUUCCCAGAUUCUAGUAAAGUUAAAACUGGUGCCUCUGUAACAUUUGUUUCAAUGUCUCAAAACUUCUCUAACACUGAUCAUCCCAAAUAAAUGGAAAAUUCUUUUGUAGCAGUUUUGUUAUUGGUAAUGCUAUCUUCAAAAAUCCAUUAACGAACAUUUGGUAAUACCUGGCUAAACCCAGAAAACUGCGUACCUCAGAUACAUUCUUCGGUGCUUUCCAGUGAACAAUUGCUUCAAUUUUCUUCGGAUCAACUCUGAUUCCAUCUGCCGAUACCACAUGUCCCAAAAAAACAACUUCUGAUAACCAGAACUCACAUUUGCUGAGCUUUCUGUACAACUGUUUCUCCCGUAAUAUCUGUAGUACAAUCCUAAGAUGCUGAUCAUGUUCUGACUCUGACUUCGAAUAAACCAGUAUAUCAUCAAUAAAAACCACCAAAAAUUGGUCUAAAUACGGUUGAAAAAUACGAUUCAUCAAAUCCAUAAAAGUAACUAGAUCAUUAGUCAACCCAAAAGGCAUCACCAAAAAUUCAUAAUGGCCAUAUCGAGUAUGAAAUGCAGUCUUUAGAACAUCACUUUAUUUUACUUUCAACUGAUAAUACCCAGAUCUCAAGUCAAUCUUCGAAAAUACCGAAGCUCCUUUUCGCUGAUCAAAUAAAUCAUCUAUAAAGGGCAAGGGAUACCGGUUAUUGAUCGUCACUUUGUUCAACUACCGGUAAUCAAUACAAAGCCUCAUUGAUCCAUAUUUUUUCUUAACGAAUAACACUGGAUCUCCCCAAGGUGAAAUGCUCGGUCUAAUGAAUCCACGAUCUAGUAAGUCCUGUAACUGCACCUUCAACUCUUUUAAUUCAGUGGGUGACAUUCGGUAUAGAGGUAUAGGGAUUGGUGAUGUACCCGGGUACACUUCUAUAGCAAAUUCAACCUCUCUGUCAGGUGGUACGCCCGGUAAUUCUUCAGGGAAUACAUCUAGAAACUCACAUACAGUUAUGAUCUUGCUGCACUGACUAUCAACCUAAUCAGAAUUAAUAACAUAAGCUAAAAAUGUUGUACAACACUUUUGAAGCAAUUUAUUAGCCUUAAUUGCUGAAAUGAUAUGUGUUGAUCAACUAGUACGGAUGCCAUUCACCUCAAUUCUAUCCCCGUCUUCUGUCUGAAUACUAAACCUCUUUUUAUAGCAAUCUAAUACCACUCCAUGUUCAGACAAUCAAUCCAUACCCAAGAUUACAUCAAAGUCAACGAAAGGCAUGAUCAAUAAGUCAACAGAAAACAUUUUAUCAUGUAUCAUCAACGGGCAUCUACGACAUACUCUAUCUACAGAUACAGUUUGUCCCAAAGGGCUAGACACUUCUACUAAAACUCUAGACAUUUCAGAUUUUAACUUUCUCAACUACACCAGUUUUGAAUUAAUAUAUGAGUGUGACGACCCUGGAUCAAUUAAAGCAUAAACAGGCUCAGAAUGCAAUAAGAAUAUACCUGUCACAACAUCGUGGGCAUCACCUUCUUCUCUUGUCUAAACUGCAUAGGCUCUGGCCGGUGCUCUUCCUCUGACUGCUGUGUAACUAUGUCACUACUCCUCCGACCACCUCCACCUCUGGAUACCAAUCUCUGUGAUGCGACGAAAGUAUCAUUUUUAUUUUUCAAACAGUAUUUAACAAAACAUUCUGUUGACCCACAACGGAAGCAGCCUCUAGUCACUUUCCAACACUCACCUAAAUGUUUCUUCCCGCAAUAUUUACAUUCUAGAAUUUUCGUGUCCCGGAGUGGAGCUCUUACACUACCAGUGGAUAUCGUCGUCUGUUUCCCUCGGCUUUUGUCCCCUCGAUCAGAUCUAAAACUUGACCUCCAACCACCUCUAGAUUCUCGAGAUCUUUUCGGUAAAGGAUUUCAAAUAGUAAUGCCAACUCGUUUCCCAGUCGAUCUAGCUAUCUUGGGCUUUUUAUCCAAACCCAAAACCUGCUCUACCAUCUUUGCUCUCUCUACCAAAUCUACAAAUUCAAUAAUUCGGUGUGACACCAGCUGUACCCUGAUCUCAUAUCUCAAUCCCCGAAGAAACCUUUUACAACUAUCAACCUCUUUCGGUAUGAACUCAAAAGCAUAUCGGCUAAGUCUAGAAAAUUCACGUUCAUAAUCCACAACUGACAGAUUACCUUGUUUCAACAUCAAAAAUUUCUGCCUCUUAUCUUCGAUAUACAGCUCCCCAACAUAUUUAUUCUGAAAUUCUUUUUGAAAUAAAUCCCAUGUUACCUGUUCUAUAGGCAGAUGUCAUAUUACAAAUUCCCACCACAAACAUGCUUCUCCUUGCAGUAGAGAAAUAGCACAGAUCAAGCUCUCUCGGGGGGUACAUUCUAAUGGCUGCAGAACUCGUUUAGUUGAUUCCAUCCAAUUCUCUGCAGUGGAUGGAUCAACUCCCAUCAAACCCAAAAAUUAAGUAGCACUGUAUUUCUGUAAUUCUUUGAUUGGAGCCCGUCUAGUAGAAGGAGUAGAUGUCGUAGCAGGUAUAGUCCCCGCUACUCAUUGCAAGGCAUUGUUCUUAAUUUUAUUGCAGCUUUUAUACUUAGUGCAUCAGCUACCAGGUUUGCCUUUCCCGAAUGAUAAUCUAUGACACAAUCAUAAUCUCUCAGAACCUCGAUCCACCGUCUCUGUCUAAAAUUCAACUUCUUUUGUGAUAGAAGGUAUUUAAGAUUUUUAUGAUCGGUAUAUAUAUAACAUUUUUCACCAUAAAGAUAAUGCCUCCAAAUCUUUAAUGUAAAAAUUACAGCAGCUAGCUCCAAAUCAUGAGUCGGAUAGUUACGCUCGUGUGGUUUUAAUUGUCGAGAUGCAUAGGCUAUUACCUUCCGUCCUACAUCAAAACACAACCCAAACCAUUUAAAGAAGCAUCACUGUAUACUACAAAAUCCUUACCCGAUUCUGGUAAUGUCAGAACUGGUGCCUCAAUUAACAUUUGCUUCAAUGUUUCAAAACUUCUCUGGCACUGAUCAUCCCAGAUAAAAGGAACAUUCUUUUGUAGUAACUUGGUCAUUGGCAAAGCUAUCUUCAAAAAUUCAUUCACAAAUCUUCUAUAAUACCCAGCUAAACCAAGAAAACUGCGUACCACAGAUACAUUCUUCGGUGCUUUCCACUGAACAAUUGCUUCAAUCUUCUUCGGAUCAACUCUGAUUCCAUCUGUCGAUACCACAUGUCCCAAAAAUACAACUUCUGAUAACCAGAACUCACAUUUGUUGAGCUUUCCAUAUAGCUGCUUUUCUCGUGAAUCUGUAGCACAAUCUUGAUAUGCUGAUCAUGUUCUGACUCUAACUUCGAAUAGACCAGUAAAUCAUCAAUGAAGAAUACCACAAAUUGAUCCAAAUAUGGCUGGAAAAUACGAUAUAUUAAAUCCAUAAAAGCAGUUGGAGCAUUAGCUAACCCGAACAGCAUCACCAAAAAUUCAUAAUGACCAUACCGAGUACGAAAUGCAGUCUUUGGCACAGCACUUUCUUUUACCUUCAACUGAUAAUAUCAGAAUCUCAAGCCAAUUUUUGAAAAUACUAAGAUUCCCUUCGAUUGAUCAAACAAAUCGCCGAUGCGAGGCAAUGGAUACUAAUUUUUAAUUGUUACCUUAUUCAACUGUCUAUAAUCAAUACAUAAUCGCAUUAAUCCAUCUUUCUUCUUAACGAAUAAUACCGGAGCUCCCCACGAUGAUAUACCCAGUUGAAUAAAGCCACAAUCUAACAAAUCUUGUGACUGUAUUUUUGUAACACCCCCUAACCCCAAACCGUUUUCGAAACAGGGUUAUGAGGCAUUACCGGACAUUUCGGACAAUUUACAAAUAAUUCUUAAAUAAAUAACAAACAUAUAUAAAAGAAUCAUAAAUUCAUACAAAUUUAUACUACUUGGCUUCAUUUUUUCAAUUUAUUAUUCAAUAUAACCUCUUUAUAAUGAUUGAACCUUCCCUGCAAAUUUCAAAUCGCAACCAAACCAAUUCCAGUAUUCAACCAAUACAUUUAUAUACUCAAAUAUACUUAAAUCAUACUUGACAUAUUGACCAAACAACUUAAUUAAUGAAAACCCUAUUAACAUUUCUAAUUAGUUCAUCAACUAUUCAAGCCAUUCCAAUUCAAUACCAAUGCCAUAAACAAUUUCUACCAUUUUACUAAUUUAAUCGUCAAAACACCAAAUAUCUUUCUAUACAACAAAAUUAUAUAAUAUACUAAAAUAACCAUUAUAACCCCUAUGUACAUGCCACUUUCACUUAAAGGAAGAAAACAUCACCAAAAUCUUUAUGCUGGAGUUGGUAUUGUCCUGAUGCUGAACCGAGACUCUGACUCCUUUUUAACCUGCGUACGGAAACAACCGUACGCUGAGUAUUUUAUACUCAGUGGUAUUACCAUAAUUCAAAUUAUAAUAGCAAUAAAGAAAUAGAAUUACCAAGCAUGUAACUAUCCAUCUUCUUAAUUAUCAAUUAAUUCUUAAACUUUCAUCAAUUAACAAUAACAAUAAAAUUUAUAGCUAUUCUUCAAUUUCAAUCACAUAUCACAUGUAACAAUUUCAAUCACUACUUGAACAUUAAGUUCAUGCCUUUUGUUUUCAAUCUCAAUUUCAAUCCACAAUUUUAAAUUUCCUCAUAUUCAAUACUACAAUCGAUCAAAUUCAUUUAAUUUUCUCAUUUCAAUUAUUCACCCUAUUAACAAUCUGGACUUUGACGGAUACACAGAUUCCAACCCAAAAACACCAGUACGGCACAUUGUGCCUAAAACGGUACAUAGUACCUGAUCAGUAUACGACACAUAAGUGCCUGAAAUGACAUACGAGGUGUCUAAUAAUACACAUAAAGUGUCUGAGAUACGACACAUAAAGUGUCUGAUGUACGACACAUAAAGUGCCUGAUCGGCAAACCGAUAAAUCCCGUACUCUUCCAAAUCCUAUGGCAUGCCAAUUAUAUCCGACUCAGUCCGACUAGUUAAUAGGGUAUUUCAAUUUCACAAUCCAAUUUUCACCUUUAUUUCAAGAAUUCAUUUUCAAUAUCAAUUAUACUUUUUCAUUCACUAAUCAAAACACAAUUCAAUAUCAACACAUACUUUUCAAAUUCACAUUUCAACUAAAUUUUACUUUUCCAUUUUCAAGUCAAUAUUCAUUUCAAUUCCACACAUAUAUCCAUUAUUCAAUUGAAUUUCUUUCAACUUAAUAAUAAUACUUACCUUAUAUUUCACUUACCUUAUUAUUUGCUUACCAUACACAUAAUUUAAAUUUAACAUUAAAAAAAUAAUUAAUUUGAAUUAUAAUAAUACAAACCCGAAUUUUACAGUUACUCCUCGACGACCUUCUCCUUCCCUUUUUGUGCCGAUACCUCGAAUUCUUUAUUAGCUACGACAAUUAAAUAAUUAAAUAAUUAAUUACAGCACAAAUUUUACAAUAAUAAUAAAAUUUCUAUCCAAUUUUAUACUUUAAUUCCAAUUUAAUCCUAACUAGAUUUAUCUACUUUUCUAAUUUAAUUCACACUCUAUUUCUAUUCAAAUUUUAUCUAAACUCAAAUUUAACUACUAAAUUUUCAACAUACUUCACUAAUUUCAAAUUUUUCUCAAUUUAGUCCCUACAACAUAAAACUUAUAGCUUACUUCACAAUUUAAUCCUUUUAUCAAUUCUAACUAGAAAUUCUAUCAUUUAAAUCCCUAAUUCAUUUUUUUGUUCAACAUGAAUCAUAUUCAAAAAUCUAAGAACUUACAAAAUUUUAGCUUAAAUUCAACAAAACUUUGUUCUAAGACUUCUAAAACAUCAAAAUUAAAAGAAAAUGACUUGAUUGACUUACCAAAUUAAAGCUUAAAUCCUUAAACCCUAGUUUUUCCUUUUUCUUUUCGUUCUUUCUUUUUCCUUCCCCUGUUUCAAAUGGUUUCUGUUUCUUUUCUUCUUCUUUUUCUUUUAUUCUUUUAUUUUAUUUCUUUUAUGUAUUAGUUAAUGAUAAUAAUAUAAUAAUAUUUAAUUCACAAAUAUCUUUUACUUAAAUUAUAAGAAAAUAUUUUAUUUUAUUACAAGUGUGUUUUUAUUUAUUUUACACAUGUAUUAUUUUAUCACCAUACAAUUUUCUUCAUCUUAUUUAUUUCCUAUAAUAUAAUAUCUUAACUUUAAUUAAUAUAAUUUAUAAUAUUUUAAUUAAAUAAUAUUUUUAUAAUAUAAAUCAAGAAAAAUCUAAGAUUUUUCCAUGUAUUGCCGCCUAACUUUAAGCCAUUGGCUUAUUUACCUAUUUGGUCCCUAUUUCUUCCUUCUAAUCUACAAUUAAACUUUUAACCUUUAUUCACUUUAGUCUCUUCUUACUAAUUACUCUAAAUUAGGAUAAAUUUACUUAGUUAAAACGUAAUUAAACAUACCACUAGACUCAUAAAUAUUUCUAAUAAUUAUCUACAGGUUCAAUUUUCUAAGACGGAGGCCCAAUACUACUCUUUUCCGAUGCCCGUAAAUUUGGGGUCAUUACAAUUUUCAACUCCUUUAACUCUGUAGGUGACAUCCAAUACGGAGGUAUGGAUAUUGGAGCCGUACCCAGAUAAACCUCUAUAGCAAACUCAACUUUCAUUUCUGGUGGCAAACCCGAUAAUUCUGCGGGAAAUACAUCAGGAAACUCGCAAACUGUCUGAAUUUUACUGCACUGGCUUCCAACUAAGCCUGAAUUAAUAACAUAUGCUAAAUAUGUUGAACAAACCUUUUGAAGUAAUUUAUUAUCCUUAAUUGCUAAAAUAAUAUGUGUCGGUCCACUAGUACGGAUACCAUUUACUUCAAUCUGAUCUCCUCCUUUUAUCUGAAUACUGAAUUUCUUUUUAUAGCAAUCCAAAAUCACCCCAUAUUCGGAUAACCAAUCCAUCCCCAAUAUUAUAUCGAAAUCCCAAAAUGGCAUGAUCAACAAAUCAACAAGAAAGGUUUUAUUUUGUAUGACCAAUGGGCAUCUCGGACAUAUUUGAUUCACUAACACUGUUUGCCCUAACAGACUGGACAACUCUAUAGACACUCUAGACAUCUCAGAUUUAAAUUUUCCCAAUUCAACUAAUUUUGAAUUUAUAUAAGAGUGUGAAGAUCCGAGAGUAAUCAAAGCAUGAACAGGCUCAGAAUACAGUAAAAAUAUACCUGUUACUACGUCGUGGGCAUUGCCUUCGUCUCGAGUUCUAAUCACAUAAACUCUAGCGGGUACUUUAGCUUCAGACUGCUGGGUAACAAUAUCACUGCUCUUCCUAACACCUCCUCAUGUAGAAACCGAACUACCUCUACCUGAUCCUCUGCCUCUAGCAGUAGAUACUGAUCUCUAUGAUGUCACAGGUGCAGCACUAUCAGUUUUCGGGCAAUCUCUGAUGAACUGGUCUGUAGAACCACAUCGAAAACAUCCUCUAGUUAAUUUCCAGCAUUCCCUUUUGUGUUUCUUUCCGCAGCACUGACAGUCUGGAAUUUCUACACUCUGAGGUGGACCUCUCACACUACUAGUAGAUACUGUUGUCUGUUUCCCUCUGCUUCUACUGCCUCUAUCUGAUCUAAAAUUGGAUUUCCAUCCACCUUGAGAUUCCUUUGAUCUUUUUGGCUACGGAUUUGAGGUGGUAAUUCCCGUACAUUUCCCGGUUAAUCUGACACUUUCAGUCUUUUUUUCGACGCCUAACACUUGCUGUACCAUUUUGGCUCGCUCAAUCAAAUCUACGAACUCAGUAAUCUGGUGAGAUACUAACUGUACCUUGAUCUUAUCUCGCAAACCCCGUAGAAAUCUUUUGCAACUAUCAGCUUCUGUUGGAAUAAACUCGGAGGCAUAUCUGCUGAGUCUCGAGCAUUCCCUUUCAUAAUCUAUUACCGACAUAUCACCCUGUUGUAACAUUUAAAACUCUUGUUUCUUAUCUUCGAUAUACAUCUCCCCGACAUAUUUCUUUUGAAAUUCCUUCUGAAAUAGGUCACAAGUUAUCUGAUCCUCCGAUAGAUGUCGAACCACUAAUUCCCACCAUAAAUAAGCUUCCCCUUAUAGCAACGAUAUAGCACAAAUCAAACACUCUCGGGGGGUACAGUCCAAUUGUUGUAAAAUUCUUUUAGUCGACUCCAUCCAAUUUUCAGCUGCGAAUGGAUCGACUCCUUUCAGACCCAUAAAUUCAGUAGCACCAUAUUUCCUCAAUUAUUUUAUCGGGGCCUAUCUUUGAAUAGGUGCUGAGGUCAUAGUAGGAGCAGUUCCCGCUACUCUUUUAGUGCAUUGGCAAUUACUCGUAAUAUAUCAGAAACAACUCCAUCAUUUCUUCUAUCAACUCUAGUAGGUUGAUUUCUUACAGGAUUUAUACUCCGUGUUACUUGCUCAGUUUCAUUUAAUCUAUAUGAUUCUUCAUCACCAAUAUACAUUUCCUCAUCAGUAUCAUUUAUUCUUUCAUCAUACAUCUUUAAUCUAUAAAACGGAAACAAACAAAUAGGACAGCAUCCAAAUCCCGACUCAGUUUUGACUCGACAGUGGCAUGUACAUCUAGACUCAAUUUUCGAGCUCGAUUUAGUCCGAGAAUCAGCUAAACCUGAUAGCUUUGAUACCAACAAAAUGUAUCACCCCUAACCCUAAACCGUCAUCGGAACAGAGUUACGAGGUAUUACCAGACAUAUCAGACAAUUUACAAAUAAUUCUUAAAUAAAUAACGAACAUAUUAUAAUAUAAUCAUAAAUUCAUAUAAAUAUUUGUUUUACUAAUUGAAUUCAUUUUUAUUAUUUUCAACCAAAAGCAUAAGACAUUUUCAAAUGACCAAUAUAACACCUAAGUACAUUCAAUUUUACCAAAGGAAAGAUUACAUCAGCAGAUUUUGUACUGGAGUCAGGAUCGCUCUAGAUGCUGAAUCGGAACCUUUGAUUUCUACUAACAUGCGCACGGAAACAACCGUACGCUGAGUAUUUCAUACUCAGUUGCAUUACCAUAAUUCAAAUUAUAACAAUAAUAAACAUGUAAUGCAUAAAUCAUACAUACAAAUUUAAACUCAAAUUUCAUAUUUCAACAAUAACAAUUCUUCAAUUGGUAUCAUAUAUCCACAAUUUGAACUUGGACACAUCAUGAACCUUAGGUUCAUUCAAUAAUCUCAUAUAACAUUUCAAUUCACAAUUCAAUUUUUUCAUCUCAUUUCAGUAGCUCAAUUUAUCAACUCAUUCGGUUUAUCGUUUCAUUAUUUACCCCUAUUAACAAAACUCGAACCUUGGCGGAUACAUGGAUACAGCCAAACACUCUAGUAUGGCACCUAGUGCCUCAACAGAUAGUUCAAAGCAAUAGUUGACACCCAGUGUCUCAUCAGCAAAGCCAAAAAAAGUUGGUACCCAGUGUCUCAUCGAAUCUAUCCGAAGAAAUAUAGUGACACCUAGUGUCUCAUCGACUCGAGGUCAAAGUAUCUCUGAACUCUUCCAAUCCUUUGCCAUGCCAACUAUAUCCGACUCAGCCUGAUUAGUUAAUAGGGUCUCCAAAUUCACAUUUCAAUUCAAUUUCACUUUUUCACUUUCAAUCACAAUUCAAUUCAAAAUUCACUUUUCCAUUUUCAAGUCAAUAUUCAUUUCAAUCCCACACAUAUAUUCACUAUUCAAUUGAAUUUCUUUCAACUUAAUAAUAAUACUUACCUUAUAUUUCACUUACCAUACAUAUAAAUUUAAAUAUAGAAUUUAAUAUUAAGUAAUUUGAAUUAUAGUAAUACAAAUCGUAAAUAUCCCGUUUUAGUCCUCGAUAGCUUUCUCCUUUCCUUUCGAUGCUGAUGCCUCGGGUUCUUUGUUAGCUACGAAAAUAAUAAUAAUAAUUUACAUUAUUAAUUAUAGCACUAAUUUACCAUACUUAAUUGAAUUUUCUUUUCAAUUUAUACCCUAAUUCCAAUUUAUUCCUAAUUAACUCAUUUACUUUUCUAACUCAAUUCAUACUUUAUUUCUAUUCAAUUUCCUUCCAUAUUCUACUUAACUAUCUAAUGUUCAUAAUAAAACCCUAAUUUAAAAAUUCUUUCAAUUUAAUCCCUACAACACAAAACUUAUAGCUUCUUUUACAAUUUAAUCCCUUAAUCAAUUCUAACUAGAAAUUCUAUCAAUUAAACCCCUAAUUCAUCAUUUUUUUCAACAUAAAUUAUAUUAAAAAACCUAAGAACUUUCAAAACUUCAACUUAAAUUCAACAAAACCUUGUUCUAAAGCUUCUAAAACAUCAAAAUUAAGAGAAAAGAACUUAAUUGACUUACCUAUUAAAGCUUUAAACCUUCAAACUCUAGUUUUUCCAUUCUUUCUUUCUUUUCUUUCUUUCCUUUCUUUUCUCCAUGUGUCGUUCUCUAUUUUGUUUCUUUGUUUCUUUUUCUUUCAUUUAUUUUGUUUAUUCUUUUAGUUAUUAUUAUAAUAAUAUAAUAUUAAACAUAUAUACUUAAAUAUUAAGUAAUACAUGUUUUAUUAAUAUAUAUGUAUAUUAUUUUUACACAUUUAAUUAUUAUUACCAUACACUUGUCUAUUAUCAUCACCAUCCAAUUGUUCUUAGUUUAUUUAUUUUUAUUAAUUUAAUAUUUUAAUAUAAUAAAAAUCUAUUUACUUAAAUAAAAGUAAUUAAAUAAAUAUAUUACAAUUGUACAAAUAUAAUUAUUACACAUUUGUUUUAUCAUCACCCUACAUUUGCCAUAAUUCAAUUUAUCUCUUAAUAUAAUAUUUAUAAUUUAAUUAAUUUAAUAAUAUACUUUAUAAUUAAUUUAUAUAUUUAUAAAAUUAAUUCAUGUAAAAAUCUAAGAUUUUUACAAUCUUAUACUACCUCAAUUAGGACAAAUGGCAUAAUUGUCAUUUUGGUCCUUUACAUUUUCUUUUAAUCUAUAAUUCAACUUUUCCCUUUAUUCAAUUCAGUCCUUUCUCCUAAUUACCCUUAAUUAAGCUAAAUUCACCUAAUUAAAACCUAAUUAAAUACACUACUAAACUCAUAGGUAUUUCUAAUAAUUAUCUACAGGUUUAAUUUUCUAAUACGGAGGCCCGAUACUACACUUUUUUUAUGCCUGUGAAUUUCGGGUCAUUACACACACUAUAUACCUAGUACGUUGAGCUUUAAUGAAAGCAGAUUACAGAACGAAAUCAAAGGAGGAAGGAAAAAAUGGAUGUGUCAGCAUCACUCAAACAAAAAUACAAAUCGAAGGAUAGGAAGGGAGCUCGCGAAAACAUAGAAGCAAAACUCGACGUAGGAAAAAAGCCUGAUACUCCAAGAAUUUUCAAAAAUGAAUGGGUUACGCACUCCCAAUUACCCCCUGGACAUGUUUAAUCCAACUCCGACUCAUCAAGAUGAGGGGGCUAAUCUUGAGGAGGAAGGUGCUACUCAGGAGUACCCUAGAAUAAAGGAUGUAUAUGAAGCGCCAUUUUAGCCGUAAUUUUCUACACCAAAAGGGCCUAUCAUACAAAGCCCAACUCACCAUGCACCUUCAAUGAGUAGGAUCUCUUACCAAACACAUGGUAAAAGAAAGGGAAAAGCUCUGAUGGAAAUGAGGCGGACACCGCAGUGGGACGAUGAGGAGGAUGAUUAAAAGUUUUUAUUUUUGUUUCCAAAAUACUUGUGUUAAUUUUUGGAUAAUUUUGAUUCAGACAAUAUAGGAGUAGGAUUAAUAGUACAUUUUUAGUUAUGUUUUGUUUAGGUUUUCUAUGUAGGAACCCGACAUGAAGGAGACAUAAACAAUUCGAUCUUAACAAUACCAAAGGAGGAAGCACCCACCAUUAGCAGUUGGAGCAACCAUGAUCAAUCGAGUAACUUAUUUCCUCAAUUUUUUAUGGGAUAUACAUUGUGGACAAUGUGUCUACUAAAGUGUGGGGGGUAACAUAGAAAACUUGUUUAUUUUCAAUUUCUACAUUUUUCUUUGAUUUUUUCUUGUCUUUGGUGAGCUUGAGCUUAUAGAAAUACAUGUGAUUGAUUAGGAGCAUGUACGUAAGUUGCUUAUGUUUACAAAGAAAUUCGGCAUGAUGGUGGGUGAUUUUAAAUUUUUUAUUAUUAGACUACUAGGUUCUAUAUGUUACACUAUAAAUAGGAAUUAAGCAAUCAAUUGUACCAAGUGAUGUAGAAAAUACAAGGAAACGAACAUGCUAGUACGAAUGAUAAAUGGUUGAAUUUGUAUUUGUUUGGUUCAUUAAGUUUGUGCAUGUUGAGAUAUUUAGGGAUGACCUAAGGAAUUGUUUGAAACACAUCCGGAGCCAAAAAGUUGUCCUAUUUAUAUUUCACCUUUAGUACCAAUCUUUGAGCCUGUUUACACUUCUUGAUGAACCUCAUUACAAACCGUUGAGCUUUAAAUGUUAAUUUGUAUUUACCUUUUUUCUUUGGUCCUGCGCUGCACGACUAUAGACGUCUGACCAUACAUAUUGAGGGUUAAGUAGAUACAUCAUGGCGAAGGUUGUAAAAAUAGAGGGAAAUAGGAAAGAUUGGUGUGAUGUAGGAACUAUAAGUUAGCCUAAUAUGCGAAAUAAAAAGAAAAUUCCAAAAAAAAGAAAGAAAAUUAGUACAAGUGGAAAAAGUCUUAAACCAAUGAAAAAGCAUUCAUGACUGAGAUGUAUUAAAAAAAAGAGAGAAAAGUCACAAAGUCACAAAAGAAAAACUCAUUCAUUGGUGCACAAAAACUCGUAAGGCUACCCGUAGUUACUAUGCCAUGUUAUGACUUCCUAUAUAUGGAGAGACAAGGAAGGCGAGAGAAUGAGAAAUAAGACGGUGAGCGGGUAAGGGUCACUAAGGGGGGAAGAAUAGGGAUCAAUGCGAUGUACCAAACUAUUUUCGUGUUUGAAACCCUCUUGACGCUUUCUAUCUUUAAAUUUCAUACAUGUCUUGAGACUCAUAACAAUACAAGCCGAAAGUCCUAUGUGACCUAAGUAUCCUUAUACACAAAUGGACAUCAUACUAAACAUACGCAUAAAUGACUAUUUGUAUUCUACUCAGAUAAUCAAAGUACUUGUAUAAUUUAUUGAUGAAUCUCUACAAGUGAAACCCUUUAUACUUGUAUAUUUUGUAACAUACUGAACUUCGAUGUUUGUGAUCAAAAGUGGUAAGUCAAUUAUUCAUCAUGUUAAAGUUGUUAGUAAGCAUAAAAAGCCUAUAUCAUAUGCUCUAAAGUCAAUACAUGUAUGAUAUUUUCUCAAGGGUCGUCACUUUUAUUUCUUUUUUUUAUUUAUGUUGCUUGAGGACAAGCAAUGACUUAAGUGUGGAAAAGUUUGAUCUAUCAUAAUUUGGUGUAACAGAUUAAACUAGUUUUUGCAUUUAAGGAGCUUGAAUACAAGCAUUUUCGUUACGUUUUAGUUAAUUUUUUUUUUAGUUUUAAUUACAUUCAAUAAAAUGUGCAAAUUCAGUCUUUUAUUAACCUUAGGGGCCAAAUGAGGCCUAAGGGUGAGCUAACACACUUUGUGAGUGUAUAGGAGACCAUUAGAAGGAGUAUUAAAUGAAUAUUGGUCGCUAUGUCGCAGCACGGAUGACUCAAGGUCGCAACAUUGGGAAUAGAAUGGAGAAAGCUCAAGUUUGCCUUCGAUGUCGCGACACAAACUGAGGGUAUCCGACAUACCCCUGAAGAUAGCUGAAGAGGAGUAAACUGAUUGCUAUGUCGCUACACAUGUCCUAGUGUGUUGUGACAAUGACUCUAUGAUGAAAAUUAAAUACGAAAUAGAAGUGUUUUGGUCUGCACAAUCAAACCUAAAGCUCGGGAACAUCAACUAACCUAGGGUUAAGGACGAUGGCCACCUAAAGGCUAUAAAUUGGCUCAUUUGUCACUUGUUAUGACAUGAUCCCUUUAGCCUAAAUUUUCUUUGUAAAAUUUAGUUUAGUUUUCUUUCGUUCUUAGGUUUUAAAUUUCUUUAAUUUGUUCUUAUUGAUUUAAAGAGAUCUGAAUUGUGGAAGCAUUCAAACUUUGUGGAUUCGCAAUUAAUUUCAAUACAAUCAGGCUCUUUCAUUUACUUUAUUUUUUCUUAAUUAGCAUGCGUUUUUUAUAUCAAUUUCAUAUUGUCUAUGACAGUAAUGAGGAACUAAUCCCUCUAUGGGGGGUUAGUGAGUGGUGGUAUGAUCUGUUAACUGUUUUGUAGGGCUACUCAAUGAAUCAGUUGUUUGAAAAAGGAAGAACGUGAAAUAAACCCCAGGCCUAACAAUCCCGGGAAGUCAUCAAGUUAGAAAUUAACCCAAAAUUGGUAUUGCCCAUUCAUGAACACCUUUACCCCAAGCCAGUCUAGACUAUGAGGUCGGAAGAUAAGUAGUUCUUGCUGACUCAUUGUGUUAAUGGAAAAUCGAAAGAUCCUGCUAGGGUAGCGACUAGUUGAUUGAUGAGGAACCUGAAACAAUAGUUGAUGAGGAUUACCAAAGCGAGCUAAUCACCCAUAAUCGAGAUUUGACUCAUUCUACUUUUCUAUCUCUUGAGUUUUUAUUUCUUUUAUGUUAUUAUCUUUUAUCCUUAAACCACCAUUUUUAUGUUUUCGUACUAUAAAUGAUUUAAAUUACUAAUUAGAUCUUUUUAGUGUUUAGAUUAAAAUUGACUUAGCACUCGCCUCCCUUGGGUACGAUUCUCAGAGUGCUCACCUACUCCGUUGUAAAAAUUAUAUUACAACUCGACAUGUAUACUUGCGGAUAUCGCCUCAUAUUUCUAUAUCUUAUUACAGUAUUCAAACUCUGGACAUUAGUAUGUCCGGAGGCGGUCAGUAGUCAAAGUAACCCGUACUCGACCUAUCCUACAGCAUGCUAACUAUAUCUGACUCGCCCAAACAGUUAACAAGGUAAUAACUAAUUUAAUUUCGAAUACAAUUCAAUGUCAUAAUUCAUUUUAUUCAAUCAACAAUCGAAUAGUCAUUCUAUAUAUAUAAUGUCAAAAAUUAGCCCAAUUCACAAUCAUUUUCACAUUUUCAUUGGCUUACAGUAUUUUCAAAUUUAUUCAAUUUGGUCCUCUAACUCAAAAGUCAAUAUUUCCAUACCAAUUCAAUCCAAAUAAUCAAUCUCAACUUACCUCAAUAUCUUACCAUGUUAUACAAUGUAAUGAUGCAACAAUUUAAGCAAAUCACAUUGUAAAAAUACAAACUGUAAACUCUGAGUUGUUUGUUGAUGGUUUUAACUUUUCCCUUCCCUCUCGAGGAAUUUGGGUUGACAUUAGCUACCAAUUUUUAAUUUAUACAAACUUUACAUUUUAUUCAAUUUAGUCCUUAAAAUCGGGACUAAUAUAACUUUCAAUCUAAAGCUCCAAAUUGAAAUUAGUUUUCACCGUUAACCAUUAGGGACCUCAUAAUUCUCAUUUCUACAGUAUAUUUUACAAUUUAUUCAAUUUGUUCCCUAUUGUAGGAAAUUAUCAAUUAACUUCACAAUUUAGCUCUUUUCACAUCUAAGCUUAAAAUCUAUCAAUUUAAUACCUAAAACUUCAAGAAAUCAACAAUGGUAACUUUCUGAAACUUUAACAAUUUUACAAAUUGAUACAUAAACUACUUAGAUUAAGUUCCCAUAAUCUCAAAAAUAUAAAAAUUAUAAAGAAUAGACUAAAUUAAACUAACCAAUUUAAACUUCAAAGUUUGAAAACCUUGGCCGAAUGAUCUUCUCCUUUACCUUCUAAUUUUUAGUAUUGAAGAGAUGAUACAAACUAUGUUUUCUCUUUCUUUCCAAUAUAAUGUUUUACUUUACUUAUGUUAUAUAUACUUUAUUCAAUUCAAUGUUAAUAAUAUUUAAACAAUUUAACUCACCUUCCCGUCCACUAUCAUUUUAAGAUGGUAUAUUUAUCAUUUUAAUCCUUAGUUUAAUUGCUAAAUAAGUUUUUUAACAUUUGGUCAAUUAAAAAUUUAUAUUUGUGAAUCUUUACAAUUUAAUCCUUAAGCCCUAAUUAAUCAUUAAUUCGAUAAAAUUACCUAUUCAAACUUCAAUUCAUCUUUUCAAGAACUCUGCAAAUAUUUAAUAAAAAUAUUUACGAAUUUAAUUUAUAGAAACAAAUUUCAGAAUCAUAUUUUUUAUUACCACUUAUUUUUGAAUCGUUAUAGUCACCAAGCCUGAAGACAAUUGGAUAUUGUUGUUCACUGACAAUGUUUCCUCUGCUCCAUCCAACACCUACACUUGUAAUCUUGUUCUCACUGGGAAUCAAUGCAUUACCUUAUCCAUCACCAUCAUCAUUAGACAGUGUUAGAGUAAUUAAUAAAAUUGUUAAGAGUUGUUAAAACUGUUACUCAUUAGUUAACAGUUAGGUACUUGGUUAGCAUACGUUGUUGUAUAAAGGUAUGAGAAGUCAGUAUGUAAAAGAUCAUCAGAAGAAAAUAUAUUCUUCUUGAACAAUUUGUUUUUGGUUGUUAGAUUCUUAAUAUAGUUUAACAUGGUAUCAGAUGUUCGUUCUUUCCUGGCGUUUUUCUGAUUUCUGGCUGCUUCCAUGGAUCCUCCAUCUAGUCUGUUUGAUGUGCAAUCUCCUUCACCAAUAGUGGCCUCCAAUGCUACUGACGGAGUUGUUGAUGGUCAAUUCUUCUCCAUAAAGAAAAUUAGUGUUCUUCUUGAUGAUAAUAACUAUCUACUAUGACAACAACAGGUGCUCUUAGCAGUCAAAACGUAUAAGCUUCAAAGUUUCUUGGACUCUCGAACGGUUCCUCCCACUCAGUUUGUUUCUGAUGGUAAUGGUGGACUUCAUGAGAAUCCAGAGUUCGCGCGCUUCGAACAACAAGACAGUGCUCUUGCGUCCUGGUUGCUUUCGUCAGUCAGCCAAGCAGUUCUUCCUCACCUUAUUGGUAUGGAUACCAGCGCUCUAAUUUGGAAUGCAAUUGUAACCUUGUAUUGCAGUAAAACCACUUCUAGGCUGAUGUUCUAUAGAAGGGCCUUGCACUCUCAACGCAAGGGUGAACUGAGCAUGAAAGAGUUCUUAAUGAAGAUCAAAGGUUGCUGUGAAAAUCUUGCUAGUUGCGGUGAGGUUAUCAGCGAACAUGAGCAUGUUACUACAAUUCCAAAUGGUCUUUCGCCUGAAUAUGAGUCUGCGAUUACUAUUAUUACAACAAGCCAAGUACCAUACACAGUACAAGGUGUAACAACCAUGCUCAUGUUCGCUGAAACUCAGCAGCAGGUUGCACUUUGUGAUGCACCUAGUUCUACUAAUAUGGUCUCUCAUCAACCAUCCGAUCGUGCUGUCCAUAAGGAUUCUACGCCUGUCUAUCACCCAGUCUCAGCAGCUCGGGGUCAUGGGCGAGGACGCUCUUCUGCUUCGCGAAUUCAAUGUCAGUUGUGCGGGAAAGCUAGACAUAUUGUUGAUUGUUUCUAUUAUCAUUUUGAUUUUUCCUACAAGAGCACAAACUACAGGCCUCCUCCACAAGCGAAUAUCUGCAUGGUUGGUGCAGGACCUACUGUUGCACCUUGGGGUUCAUCUUCUCUGCCCUUGCCUUAGUCAAAUACUUCAUGGUUUCCACCAGGUUGGUUUUUCCCUCCUCUGGUGCACCACAGUCUCAGGUGUAUGUUGCAACUCCUAAAACAGUUGGUGAUAACUCUUGGUACCCGGAUUCUAGUGCCACGCAUCAUCUUACGCAUUCUGUUGCUUCACUUGGUGACGGUGCAUCCUACAGAGGACUAGGUAAGGUGUAUGUAGGUACUGGUUCAACCCUUCUUGUUUUAUCUACUAGAUAGUCAUCCUUGCUCACCCGUUCUCGACCCUUAUACAUGCGAUCUUUGUUACUUGUGCCUAGCAUUACUAAAAAUCUAUUUUCUAUGUCAAAUUUACAAAAGAUUAUCAGGUGAUGUUUGAGUUUCUUCCUACACAGUGCCAGGUUCGUGAUUUGAAAACCAGAGAGAUCCUUCUUCGGGGCUCGGUGCAUCAUAGCUUAUAUAAACUACACCUCAACAACUCUGCCGAGACUAGUUUGCCCUCUAGACAGGCUCAGUGUCUUACAGCUAGUACAGUACUCCCUCUUAGUGUUUGGGAUUCUAGAUUAGGGCAUCCCUGUCGAGCCAUACCUACAAAGGCUCUUCUACAAUGUAAUAUACAGUUUGAUGAAAAUAAUAAAACUGUUAACUGUGUCGCUUGUCACCUAAAAAAGGAACAUAAGCUUCCAUUUCCUAAAUCUUUCACCGAGUACACCUCCCCUCUUCAAUUAGUGAUUGCUGAUGUUUGAGGGCCAGCACUAGUUUUGUCUAGCGGUUUUUGCUACUAUGUUACUUUUACUGAUGCUUCUACACAUUAUACGUGGGUUUAUUUUUUGAAGAAGAAGUCCGAUGUAGUAAAUGUGUUUCUACAGUUUCAUCAGCAGGCUGAAAGAGUUCUUGGCUACAAACUUAAAGCCUUACAAACAGAUGGGAGAGGGGAGUUUCAGGUGUUGAAAAGUUAUUUAGCUCAGCAAGGGAUCAUGCAGCGUCUUACCUAUCCUUACACUUCUGUACAAAAUGAUCCUGUUAAGUGCAAACAUGGGGAAAUAGUUGAAGCAGGUCUGUCCAUGUUUGCCCAUGCAUCCAUGCCUUUGACAUUUUGGAAUGAAGCCUUCUGCAGUGCUGUGCAUUUGAUCAACCGGUUACCCUCUUAUCCCUUAGGUAACAUCUCACCAUAUGAGAAACUAUUUCACACACGACCAGAUUACUCUUUUCUUUGAACAUUUGGCUGCUUAUGUUUUCCUAACCUUAGACCGUUCAACAAAACAAAGUUGCAGUUUUGGUCAACUUCAUAAGUAUUUUUAGGCUACUCCCCUUUACACAAAGGGUACAAGUGUCAAUAUGCUACUGGCAGACUCUAUGUUUAACGAAGUGUCACUUUUCAUGAGUCAACAUUUCCAUACAAAACUAAACCUUUCUCAGUAGCCUCAUCUGUCCCUACUCCCCAGUCCAGUUCCAAACUUUUUGUCUUGUCUUCAAGUCGAGUUCCUUGUGUCAAUUCACCAUCUGUUGCUCCUCCUAAUACUCAACCUACAUCACUUAGUCCUGAGCCCAAUUCUUCCAGUAUAGCACAGACUCUAUCUGCUCCAUCUACGCCACAUAGGUCUUCUACACCUGAGCAGCUACAGUCUUUCCCACCUACCCCGCCUAACACCCAUGCCAUGGUUACCAGAAGUAAAGUUGAGAUUUUUAAGCCAAAGGCAUAUCUGAGCACAGCAUCUUGCUCUUCUAGUGAUGUUCCUCUUGACAUUCAUGCCGCAAAGAAGUCUGAGUGUUGACAGGCAGUAAUUCACAUUGAGUUGCAGGCUUUGAUUCGCAACAACACAUGAACUCUUUGCCCUUUACCAAAAAAUUGGCGAGCAGUCGGGUACAAGUGGCUGUUUAAAGUAAAAACGAAGGCUGAUGGGUCAAUAGACAGGUAUAAAGCACGUUUGGUAAUGAAAGGGUUCUCUCAGCAUGCAGGGCUCGACUUUCAUAACACUUAUAGUCCGGUGGUUCAAGCAUCUACCAUUCGAAUAAUACUUGCUCUCGCUGUUAUGCAGGGGUGGCCGUUGCAAUAGGUUGAUGUAAAUAGCGCCUUCCUUAAUGGCGAGUUAACUGAAGAAAUAUACAUGGAGCAACCUCCUGGUUUUGAAGUAUCUGAUACCAUUAGGUGGAAGCUUUUGUGCAAACUGAACAAAGCUCUCUAUGGCCUUCACCAGGCCCCUCGCGCAUGGUUCCAAACCCUUAAGCAGUACCUUGUUGCUCAGCUUGGUUUUCGAGCGUCCAAAGCAGAUUCUUCAUUUUUUAUUCGAGCGUCUGCAGGGAAUUACUUGUUGCUCGUGGUCUAUGUCAAUGAUAUUAUGCUCACUGGUAGUUCUGAUCAAGAUAUAGGAGAUGUGGUACGCCAGCUUCACAAUAAAUUUGCACUUAAAGACAUGGGAGACCUCAACUUCUUCUUAGGAAUUGAUGUGUAACGUACGUCACAAGGGAUGAUGCUCAAUUAAAAAAAACUAUAUUAUUGAGCUACUUCACAAAACUGGUAUGAUCGGGCCAGCAGCUACACCUACGCCCAUGGUGAGCACUCCCAAGUUAGUUGCUUUAGACGAUAGCCCUCCGUUUCCUGAUGUUCACUUGUAUCGAAGUGUAGUGGGUAUGCUCCAAUAUGUAUGCAUUACACGUCCUGAUCUGUCGUUUUGCGUUAAUAAACUCAACCAGUAUAUGAAUUCUCCAAGUGACACUCACUGGAAAGUUGUUAAACGAGUGNNNNNNNNNNNNNNNNNNNNNNNNNNNNNNNNNNNNNNNNNNNNNNNNNNNNNNNNNNNNNNNNNNNNNNNNNNNNNNGGCUUCAUCUAUUGAAGAUCGCCGCUCUACUUCAGGAUAUGUUGUGUACAUAGGGUCGAAUCCUGUUGCUUGGUGCUCGAAGAAGCAAGUAGUGGUGUCCAGAUCCUCCGCUGAAGCAGAAUAUUGCAGCCUAGCCAACUGUGUGUUUGAACUGUUGUGGAUCAAACAGUUGCUAGAUGAAGUGGAUAUAUUUGUGUCCCAAACACCAAUCAUUUGGUGUGAUAAUACCUCUACAGUUUCAGUGGUUGAAAACCCCACACAUCAUGCCAGGAUAAAGCACAUUGAGAUAGAUCAUCAUUUUGUUCUUGAAAAAAUUCUUGCUGUAAUGCUUCAAGUCAAUUGUGUUCCAUCUGCUCCAAAGAAGAUAAAAAACUACGGGUAAAGAUAAUUUUACUAUAAUGACAAAAGAAACGAAGAGCACAAAAAGAUGGAGAUAAAAACUAAACCCCAAAAACCCGAAAAACAAAGAACCCUCAAAACGUAAACACAAAAUUCUCUAAAUGUGUUAUGAGUUCUAAUAUCUAAUGGGUGUGUUUUCUAAGGUUGUAAAAGAGCCUAUUUAUAGGCUAAAUUAAUAGGUCAAAUAAUAAUAAAAUAAUCUAGACUAAUUAGAGUUUGAUUGAAACAAAUAAACAGAGUUUAACUGAAAGAUUAUUUCUCAAAUUUGAUUGAAAUAGGAGUCAUACUCAACAGUAUAUAUGAACUUUAAUUUUGUAAAAUUUUAUAUAUGAAAUUUUGAUUUGAUCUAAUUUUUAUAAAUUAUUAACACAAUUAUUGAUAUAAACGAAUUAUUUUACACAUGGUUUCAUAUGUGCUCACCCUGAAAUAGCUACUCUACAUUGGUUGUUUUUGUUCUCUUUUACUAAUAGAUGGUCGGGGUGUUAUUGCGGUCCGAACCCUCACAAACCGUUUCGAGUUAACGAAGUUCAAUUAAAUUCAUGAACUUGGUAGAGUAAUUGUAGGCCCUUUAUCCAAUCUGUUCUUCUUUAAAACCCAAACCUUAGCUUAUCCACUCUUCAACAUUGUCCUUGAACAUCAACUGAAACUACUCAUAAAACAUGCAAAUAGGUGCCAAAUGAAAAGGGGUCAUUGCCACUUCAACAUGGACCAGGGAAGACAGUUCUGAGCUUGACGGGCAAUUUACAGAAAAAAGCCCUUUUUUUAAAAAAAACUACCGAAAUGGGCUCAUUAUUUAAUUAUUUCUGAAAUGGUCCAUUUUCUGGCAAAUCGCGUCCACGUCAGUGCGAUGUCAGGGGACGCGCUAGGAAAUCGCGGCCACAUCAGCGCGAUUUGCUGACAUAGCAACAAAUUGUGCCCUCUAGGACGCGAUUUGCCCCGCGCGUGAACAGUGCUGACGUGGCCGCGACGUGGCCGCGACUUGCCCCGCGCGUGAACAGUGCUCCAACGGUCAAAAAUUUGACCGUUGCCCCCCCAACGGUAAAAAAAAAAACUAUAAAUACCCCCACCCCUUUUUUUUCACAAACUAAUCCUCUCUCAAAUUUCCUCUCAAUUUCCUCUCAACUUCCUCUCAAUUUCCUUUCAAUUUCCUCUCAAUUUCCUUCAAAAAUUCUCUUAAAUCCAUAUUUAAUUUCAAUUUUCUCUCAAGUUCCUCUUAAGUUUCUCUUAACUCCCUUUUUUUAAAUAAUUUUAAAAUUUUUUUUUAAAUUUUUUUUAAACCGUAAAAAUUUGUACGAUUUCAGCAAUGGCCGGAGAAUUGACUUGUCUUGAUAAGCAUCACAUAUCGGUGGAACAAAUAAAAAUGGUAAGUAUUAAAUUUAAUUUUUAAAUAUUAUUUAAGAAUUUUUUAUUUAUGCAUUUUUAGAUCAUUAUUAAUUUUUUAUUUGUUAUAAAAGUCUGUAGAUCGAGUAUUGGAAUGCAAUAUCCGGAAUAUGCAUGCUCAUCCAUCACUGUUGGUAGAGAACUACCUGCGGGAAGCGAGUUUUUGACACGUGGCGACGGUAGGCCGGGGAUGCAAGGUGGACCCGAAACUAAUCAGUGCGUUGAUCGAGAGGUGGAGACCCGAGACGCACACAUUCCAUCUUCCAUGUGGAGAGUGCACUAUCACUCUAGAAGAUGUCAGUCUACAAUUGGGAUUGCCGGUGGACGGGAACCUAGUCACCGGGUCUGCCAAAUCUAGCGAUUGGGGGGCGGUGUGCUACGAGCUUUUGGGCGCUAUUCCGGAGAAAAUUGAGGGAGGUAAGAUCGAGAUGGGUUGGUUACGUGGCACAUUCCCUGAUCCGGAUGAAGAUUCAACCGAAAUUGAAAGAAUCUGAUAUGCUCGGGCAUACAUUCUUCAAUUAAUUGGAGGUUAUCUGAUGCCCGACACGUCACGAAGUCGCGUACAUCUAAGAUGGCUGCUGAAACUCGUUGAUUUUAGAGCAGCCGGUGAAUUGAGUUGGAGGUCUGCCGUCUUGGCAACAUUAUAUCAGGAGAUGUGCAGGGUGAUGCGACCGAGGAGAGCAAAAAUCGGAGGUUGCCUGUCACUACUACAGUCGUGGGCACGGUUUCGCUUUCCAUUUCUACGUCCUCGAGUGGACCACCUAUAUACAUUCCCACUCAUAACGAGGUAAAUUUUAUAUUAGAUUUUACAAUUAUUAUGUAGAUUUUUAAAAACAAAAGUAUGCUAAAAAUUUAUUUAAUUAGGUGGAACCAUCCGGCAAGUCAUGCUCGAUUACCGUCCUCUCUUGAAGAUAUACGGCUUCUAUUGGACCAAUGGUCGGAAGCACAAGUAAGUAUUAAAUAAAAUAGAUAUUUCCAUACAUUCGCUAGUCGAUUGAUAUUUAGUAUUUAGUAUUUAGUAUUAUGUAUAUAACUAAUAUUUCUAUCAUGUUUAUAUAGUUUCAAUGGACACCAUACGAGGAUCCGGCAAUUCGGGCAGUAAUCCCGGAAGAGUUCUUACAAAAUCCAUAAGCUUGGCACGUGAAAGUCGUGUUGAUCAACUACGCAACCGUGGAGCCGCACCAGACAGGCAGAGUACUAUGACAGUUUGGAUGUAGACAACCGAUUCCCGUGGAUCCUGAGGUGUUUGACGAUCAACACAAAGUCGACCUUCGGUAAUUGAAUACAGAUUGGACGAGAUACUGGUCCGAGUACAUGGAAAUAUAGGAAGAUCGGUAUGAAUAUAUACCUACUCGGGAACCAAUCAUCGUUCCGGAGUUAGCGUGCGUUCCAGAAUACAUGCCAUGGUUUAGGAUCCAUGGCAAGCCGUAUUUACUGACGCCAGAGGAGAGGCAGCGGCAAAUACGUGUCGAAAGGGAAAGGCGUGACCUCUAAAUCCAAGACGACGAAGGCAGCCCUUCAACGAGGCCCAGACAUUCACCCGACUCAUCAUCAGCGGCCAUGCAAUCACCAGGCCCAACGAGAGCACCGACACAGUCACCCGACGCAGCAGUUCAACUGAUAAUACCCACGCAACUGCCUUUUCAAAUGAUGCCAGGUGCGUUUCCUAGCCCUUAUAUGUAUCCUAACCCUUAUAUAUAUCCUUUUCCGAGUCCUAUGGCAGGUUGGAGCCAAAUGUCUGGUUCAGCUCCAUUUCCUGUUAUGCCAAGUGGAUUGCCGAUGUAUAGGCCAGCGGCGUACGAGGAAUCGUAAGAGGGGCUGUUGGGGAGCUCUACUUUUUACCAAUCCCCACCAACGUAUGGGUUUCAAACACCGUCGCCGUUCGUAAUGCAAACACCUCCACAUACAAUAUUCUUUGAAGGUGGAUCAUCGUCCCAAGUCCAACAACCAGAUGUCGUACUGGAAGAACCAGAAUCCCCGCCGGAGGAACAACAACCGCCACCGGAAGCUAGAGAAAGGAGGAAUCCAGCGUGUAACCGUCGACGGCCGCCAUGUGGCACUGAAUCCCCUGGGCAUAGACAUUGAUUGUCGUAUUUAAAUUUAUUUGUACAAAUAUUUUGAAUAUUUUAAUAUUAUUUGAUGUAAUAAAAUAGAAGUUUAUUUGAUGUAAUAAAAUAGAACUUUUUUUUAGUUAUUUUGAUAUUAUUUGAUGUAAUAAAAUAGAAGUUUAUUUGAUGUAAUAAAAUAGAAAUUUUUGAAUAUUUUGAAUAAUUUGAAUAAUUUGAAUAAUUUGAUAUUAUUUGAGAAUUCUACUAACCAUUAAUACCCUUAACUUAAAAACACUAACCUAAUUUAAUUAAAAACCCUAACCUAAUUUAAUUAAAAACCUUAAACCCUUAACUUAAAAACCCUAACCUAAUUAAAUUAAAAACUCAAACCUAAUUAAAUUAAAAAUCCUACCCCUUAACUUAAAAACCCUAACCUAAUUAAAUUAAAAACCCUAACCCUUAACUUAAAAACCCUAACCUAAUUAAAUUAAAAACCCUAACCCUUAACUUAAAAACCCUAACCUAAUUAAAUUAAAAACCCUAACCCUUAACUUAAAAACACUAACCUAAUUAAAUUAAAAAACCUAACCUAAUUAAAUUAAAAACCCUAACCCUUAACUUAAAAACCCUAACCUAAUUAAAUUAAAAACCCUAACCCUUAACUUAAAAACCCUAACCUAAUUUAAUUAAAAACCCUAACCCAAUUAAAUUAAAAACCUUAAACCCUUAACUUAAAAACCCUAACCUAAUUAAAAUUAAAACCCUAACCUAAUUAAAUUAAAAACCCUAACCCUUAACUUAAAAACCCUAACCUUAAUAAAUUAAAAACCCUAACCCUUAACUUAAAAACCCUAACCUAAUUUAAUUAAAACCCCUAAACCCUAAACUUCAAAACCCUAACCUAUUACUUAAAAACCCUAACCCCCUUAACUUAAAAACCCUAACCCUUAACUUUAAAACCCUAAACUAAUUUAAUUAAAAACCCUAAACUAAAUUAAUAAUUUUACAUUCACAUAAUGUUAGAUUUGGAAAAAUGUUUUGACUGGUACUAACAAUUAAUAAUUUUAUAUAAUUUGAUAAUUUUACUAAUCAUUAAUACAAUCAAUUAAUAAUUUUACAUUCACAUAAUGUUAGAUUUGGAAAAAUGUUUUGACCGGUACUAACAAUUAAUAAUUUUAUAUAAUUUGAAAAUUUUACUAACCAUUAAUACAAUUUAUCAAUUAAUAAUUUCACAAACUUAAUUUUUUUACAAUUACAUUCAACUAUUGCGAUUAGGGCAUGAUCGACUUGUAUGGUCUGGAUUUCUACACCAUCCGCACAACUUCGUUUGACUGGUUGUUUCUCGGAUAUCCAUAUUGUUACGUAUUCUAGUCGAGCAAGGUCAACCCUUUGGUUUACGACGUAAUUCUCUCUCCGGUAACAACUUAAAAGGAGCAAGAGAUACGGGCGACCACUUACGUUCAUCUCGGACCGGUGGGAAAACGUGUCUCCAGACGUUGAACAUGUUUUCUAAUUUGUACACUUCGUCCACAUAACUCAUCGGAUCCAGACGGAUAUUCUGACAAGCUGCAAUAACAUGUGCGCAUGGAUAACGAAGUGCAUCAAACAUCCCACAGUCACAAGUCCUAUUUCGCAAGUGUACACGAUAUUGCCUGCCAACAACACCUUGGUGCGGUCUGUCAAACCCUGUCACGUGAAACCAUAAAUUGUCUCGAUCGUGACACACUGUGAGCAUGGUGUUUGCCCUCGCAUUGGCCUUGUUAAUUUCUUGAACUACCUUACUGCACCAUACAUGUCCUCCCUGCAUCUGGCCUGCAUAACUUGCUGCUCGCUUUGGAAAUAAUGCCGCCAAACGAAAAUAUGUCUCUCGCACAACCGAUGUUAUCGGUAGAUGGCGCGUUCCUUUAAUAACAGAAUUUAUGCAUUCAGCCAGGUUCGACGUCAUAUGGCCAUAUCGUAGGCCGCCAUCGUAUGCUUGUGCCCACUGUUCGAAACAUAUGUUACAAAGGUAGUCCGCCCCUUCUCCGUUAAUUGAACAUAAAAUUACCAACAUCUCGUGAAAACGAUCUUUAUUUAUUUCAUACCCUGCCAAUAUAAGAUCAUAGCGAAUAAUUUAUACCACUUCUACUAAUAAAACUAAUUCAAAUUGACAAACGAAAUAACACAGAUAUAGACUAAAUACCCAUAUUGGUCACUUGUCAUCAUUCGCUCUUAGAUGGAUAUUGUCUGUAGUCGUUCGAAGCAACGUGUCUUAGGCAAUAUCUAUGGUGUGUGCACUGCUAUAAGCUUCCCUGUCAAUCAAAUGCAGCUAGUAUACUGGCGCCCCGAUUUGAAAUAACACAGAUAUCAGGUUAGAGGCACACAUGCCUCCUUAACCUAGAGAGAAAGAAAUCCCAGUCAUCAGACGACUCCCCCGGUGUUAUUGCAAAUGCAAUUGGAAGAAUUCUCCCACCGCCACCCUGUGCCACUGCAAGCAAUAGCCGAUGAGUAUACCUACUGAACAUAAAGAUACCGUCAAUUUGUACCAACGGCUUGCAGUACGGAAAUGCGUCUCGACAUUGCUUAAAGGUCCAAAACAGGCGUUUGAACACUUGGCAUCCAUGUAGCAAUCGGUCGUUGUAGUACGCAUGUUCCAUUUCAAGGUCUGUGAUGGCACUUGGGACGUAUCUCUCUAGCACCUGACACCACUGCCAUAUUUCAUUAUAUGAGGCCUCCCACCCACUAUGCAUCUUCUCCAACGCCUUUUGCUUAGCUAUCCAAGCCUUACGGUAAGAGGGCGUGUACCCCAUUUGGCUACGGAUAUUGGUAAUUAACAUCAGUACUGAAAUCCUGGGAUCCGCUUUUACCGUGGACAGUAUCAAGCUAGCUAACAUAGCUGAAUCCAUCUUGGGAUGGUCUUGUGAAACACCUAUAAACCGAGUACAUUAAAUAAUGCAACAUUGCAUAAUAAAAGUAUUAUUCAGAAAUCGUCUAUACUAUACCUGCAGCACAUGUAUGUGAACCUUUGUACUUUUUAAUCUCCCACAACCCUGUCCUUUUCCUUAACGAGGCGUAGAUAUUCCAUGAACAUAUGCUGUCUUGGACCGCACACUUCGCCUCAAACUUAUCAGUUUUGGAUUUAAUGACGUGGUAGUUAAUGCUGUUUUUGAUGCUAUGUUGUUUCAAAGCACCAAUAAAAUUAUCCUUGUUGGUAAACUGAUUACCAACUUCAAAUUCACCGGAAUCUACACCCGAACUUGUACGAUCACGCAACCGGUAUGGUAGAUCUAGAAACUCUAACGCAUUAUCUGCAGACAGAUCGACAUUAUGCAUGUGGGCUGGAGGUGAGUAUGCUUUGAAUCGUGGAUUUUCUUCUUCAUCUAAACUCCUUUCAGCAUCUUCAGAUUCUGUUGAAAUAGGCUCCGGUUCAGAAAAUAAGCCAACUUCUGCACCAUCCGGCCCGGGCUCUCGAGGUGGAUCCACAUCGGAGUCAUCUUCUAACCCACAAUCAUCUGCAGCGUACGAGGUCCCCUCACCGGUUGACGUCGUAGGGAGUACAUCAUCCCUUCUUCUGGGCAUUUGAUAACGUCCCCAAUUGGAUGUAGAUUACCACUGACUAGAACUUGAUGUCGUUCCCUAGUAUGUAUUUCCAGUAUCAAACGUCGAGCCACCGACGUACAUGUCCCAUCCACCGACAGAGUGUCUUGCAGGGGAUGUACAUUUGACACCACUACCGAACAUGAGCUGUUCUGUAUUUUGUAACCCACUAACCGAGUGACGGCCAGGGGUCGUGUAUACAUCUCGAACACCAGUCGCAAGUACAUCAGUUGGCGAUGUAAAUUGUACAUAUAACUCAAUAUAAGGUGCUCCACUAGCAAGAUGAGUCUGCACUAUUGCCUCCAAGCUACGAGCACCUUUUAUGUCAAACGAGUCAUAUGUCACCGGAUCAAUAGAAGAGCAAAAUCGAUACGUGAUAGACAGAACUUUCAUUGGCGUUGUUCCAAAAAUUUUACGCCUAAUUCUUUUACGAAGUUCUGGUUAAAAACCAGUCGCACCGUAUUCUCCGAAAAAAAAACACCAUUUUCGGUGUGGUAAACCUCACCAUCAUAGUAAAUAACAACACUAAUACGUUCACUCAUAUUUGAAACUCUAACCUUCUUAGCCUCUCUAAAUUGUUUUUGCUGUGACUUAUGCAUUCUAAGAACAUUUCCUGCCUAAUUUAUAGCCUCAGCCCAAACAUGCUAUUGUAGCAAAAGCGCGUUCACGAGGGCACGAUUUCACAAAUUCUUCUCAAAUAGCAUCCUGCUAGAAGCGAUUUUAUACUAUUUGAUCAGAAACGUCAACUCGAAAUUAUUUCUUCUAGGACCUAAAAAGCCUAAAAAGCCUAAACCCUAAGCCCUAAAAGCCCAAAAAACCUAACGUGGGAAAAAGGGCAAAAUCGCGUCCCCCGGACCGCGCCAUGUGGCAUGAACUCGCGUCCACAUCAGUACGAUUUGCUGACGUGGCAACAAAUCGCGCCCUCUAGGACGCGAUUUGUUGCCAUGUUAGCAAAUCGCGCUAACGUAGCUGCGAUUUCCUGGCACAUCCCCUGACAUCGCGCUGACGUGGACGCGAUUUUCUGGAAAAUGGACCAUUCAGGUAAAUAAUUAAAUAAUUGGCCCAUUUCGGUAAUUUUUUUAAAAAAAGAGCUUGUUUUGGUAAAAUGCCCGAGCUUGACUGCUCGCCUCAACUGAUAAAAUUUGAAUUUGAGAAAGCAUGAGUUUCAAAAAAUAUAAGUCAAGAAAUUUUGAACUUGAGAAUAUCCAAAUUUGAAUUAACUCGAGUCUGAGAAAACUUGAACCUGUAACAAUUUGAGAAUAAGAUCAAUCUAGUUUCAAAUCAAGAUGGAGCUUAUCUAGAACUUGAAAAUGUUCAAAUUUAUAACUAAACAUACAUUAAUAUAAUUGUUUUAUAAGAUUUAAAAUGAAAAUAAAUAAAUGUAAUUAUUUAAUUUAUGAAAAUAUAUUUAUAAAUAUUAUAUAAUUAUAAUAAAAUUUAUUGGAAAUAAAAAUAAUAAAUUUUUAUGUUAAAUUCUAAAGUAAAAUAAAUUUUAAAAUACUAUGAAUAUAAAAUGUUUUUUAAUGCAAUUAAUAUAUUUUUUUAAAAGGUAAAGCAAUCAUUAUAUAUGAAAUAUAUAUAAUUAAUAAUUAUUCAAACCUAUAAAAUUUAAAUUUAUUUAUGGAAAGAGUUCAAGGUAACUUUUGGUGAUAGUUAUUUAGUGGUUGUGCUAAGAAUUUUUAAGUAUUUGAGAGAAGAUGGUAGAGAACGGGUGAAGCUAGAGAUAAUGGAAGUUUUCCAUGCCCUUUGUGUAGGUUUUUGAGUGACAUAUAUACAAGAUUUCUUUCUGGAUCUUAUAUUGCAUGUUAUCUAAAUAGUAGGUUUGAUGAGUCCUAGCUAUCCUUAAACACGUGCCCUUAAUGGCUAUGGAUGGUCAUGUUUAUAUAGGUUGGUGUUGUGAUGGGAUUAAGUGAAAUCAAUGUGACAAGGAAAUGAAAAGGUAGAUAACAUUAAUUGUGCAGUGUAAGGCACAAUUCUUUGGUAAGGUAUAUAGAGUCGGCUUAGCGAGGUACAUAUGGCUAUCAGGUUGGUGAAGCAUAGUUAUUUUUAGAGAUAUGUUCAUUCAAAAUAUUUCUAUGUGAUUAAUAGGGUUUGAUGCGCCAUCGUAUGAUUCUAUGAUCAACAUUUGAAAUCCUUUUGGGGUGAUGCGAGCUUCCUAGCAUCUCAUGGUUGAAAAGUGGUGAAUGAGCAAUCAACUUUUACUCUAUAGCCUCCAUGCAUCUUAGCUUUUAUGGUCUCCCCUUUUUCAUCCACAAGCACUUUGCUUUUAAGAUGUGUUUUCCUUUGUCAACUUUUUGUAUCGUCUCUCUGCCUAUUUGGCGUCAUGGCCUAGGAGGUGAAUUGUUAAAAAAUGAGUAAGGAAACAUUGGGAGAGUUAUCUAUAAAAGUAGUAUCAACCUCCCCAUGUUUGGUCAAGUUAAUCUCCUCUUUUUAGUGUGUUGUCCAUCCGUCGUUGUUCCCUGAGGCCAAUUCUUUUACUUUGUUUGUGAUGUUUCACAUCUCAUCCUUAAGUUGCUCAAGAUCUCAUUUGUCGCGUCAUUGGUUUGUUGAUGUAGUGAGACUUUCAUUCUCUUGCUCCAUUUGUGGAUUAUCUUAAGAGUUGCCUUUAUUUUUCUCGUUCCAUACUUAGGGAAGAAGAUAUGUAGUGAGACAAGAAAAGAUGUCAACCAUCUUAUACGAAUAUAAUGCAGCAUGUAUAGCUCAAUUAAAAGAAUGAUACAUCAAAGGAGAUAGAAUAAAACAUAUUUCACCAAAAUUAAUCUUCAAUCAUGAUCUUGAGAAGAAAGGUGAUAUAGAAGUCCAACAAUUUGGUUCAAAUAAUAAUUUGGUUGAUCUAUUUUACCAACUUCGACAUUUGGAAGGGUGAUAUAAAGAAUUGGAAUGCGUGAACUAAAAAAUGUUAAAUGACGUCACCAUUAAGAGAGUAAAUACAUAUUAUACUCUUUUUCUUUUAACCAAAGUUUUAUCAACUGGUUUUCAAUUGGGCAGUAUGUUAUGUGUAUUAACCAAGGAAAAGUAUUAUAAAUCAUAUACUAUGGAUGCGCAUAACUCCUAACCAUUCCUCAAAGAAUUUGUAAGAAAUAAAUUCCUUUAAUUCAUUAGUUUGCAUUUAGGUCUUCAUUCAUUGAAGUUAUCGUAUAAAGCAUGCAAACAGAGGCUUCUACAAUUCUUAUAUACAGUAAAAAAAUACAAUUAUUCUAUCAUACUUUGUUUUAUACUUUUUUUUCAUCUCUUAUUUAAAUACAAUUCUUUUUCUAGUUUUAUAAUAUUUUUUAAAAACUAAAAAAGAGAGUAAAUAUGUUACAUAUAAUAAGCAAUUUUAAUUCUGAUUUAUAAAUCUCUAUUAUAAUGAGAUCUUCUAUACAGAUUCUACUCUUUUUAAUAGUUGAAUUUUAAUUGUAUUAUCAUAAAUUAUUUGGAUUUAUGUAAGUUCGCUUGACCCCAAAAAUUUUAAAUUCAAAAUACUUAAUUUGAUUUCCAACCCCUAAAAAUCUAAACUCAAGUAUCCAAAGACGGUUUGUUUUGUUUAUAGAUAGUGUGUUUUGGUUUUUAUAAGGUUAAAUAUUAUUUAUUAUUCGUUUAAAUUUAUCAAAAAAAUUUAUACUCUUAUAAAAAUCCUUAUAUUUUAAUUUUGAGAUAUUAAAUUCUUUUAUUUUUUAUUUAAAAAUUUUGGUCCCUCCAUCUACUUUUUGUAGUUAAAGUAAAAUAACUCUUUUAGUCCUUAAUAGUUACAAUUUUUUGUUAAUUUGGUUCUUACCCUAUAAAAGAACAUAAUUUUUUAAAAGAUUUUUUUUACAUUAUUUUAAAUAAAAACAUAAAAUAAAUUUAUAAUUUUUUUAAAAUUAAAAUUAAAAAAUAAAAACUCUUUAAAAUAUAAAAAAGAUUUAAAAAUAUAAAAAAAUUCAAAAUACAAUGGUAUUUAAAUUAGACCAUACCAACUAAUCGAAUCGAAUGAAUGAAGAACUGAUUAGAGUAUUAUUUGUUGAGAGGUAAAGACCAGUGGACCAACACAGACUGGUUGAACUGAGCUAAAAAAAAUGGUUGAAACAAUUUUAAAAAUUAGUUUGACAAACUGAUUCCCUUAAUGAUUGGUGCGACUGGUUAAAAGCAUAUAAAUUAUUAAAAAUUUAAAAAUUUAUAAAAACUAGUUCAACUACCAGUUCAAUUGCUUUUUUAAUUCAGUUCAACCAGUCUAUACUAGUUGGUAGAUCAACUGAUUUUUAAAAUUUUUAAAACAAUUUAACCUUUAACAUUUACAAAUUUUUUAAAAUUUAAUCCACACCUCUUAAAAAAAAGUAAAUUGUAAAAGAAAAAAAAAACCAAUAGAAACUAAUUUUGAAACUUCUUAAAAUACCUAUAUAUCUGAGAGGCUAAAAGAGGUGGAAUUUGAUAACUUGAAAAGCUCAAGCAUCAUUGAGGGGUUUCCCAUCGACGAUUUAGAACAAACUAGUGUUUAUCUCCGCCUUAAUUUACAAAUAAAUAAAGGGAAAUCUGAUCCCCCCAUGGUCGUUUACUUGCUUCAUAAAAAUGGUGUCUGAAAAUACAACUUAAAUUUUAACCCUCCUACGCCCAACAAAUCUAGCAGGACUAAACCGACUAAGAUCAACAAUGGUAGCACGUCCCUCAAGAACAAGCUCAGCCACAGCAGCACCUGUAGCUGGACCAUUGAGUAUCCCCCAACAACUGUGACCAGUGGCAACAUAACACCCCUUCAUCCCUGGAACUUCUCCUAUUAUUGGCACCCCAUCGUCGGUGCAUUACAAGAAACAAGCUUGUUCUGCCUUCACUCGCGCUUCUCCUUCCCUCAGAUGGCUCGAAAAGCUAGGUCUUGCUCUUUCAUUGUUUUAAGAAAUUCCUUUUUUCCCUCUGAAACUAUCUCGAUAUUUCAUCCAUUUGUGUAGAAUCCUCCUUCUGUUCCAACAUUAGUGGCUGUAAAGUGGGCGAGCUCAUUGAGAAAGUCGGCAUUCAUUGUUGAUUGGCAUAUUUUUGGAUAUACCUUACUUGGAUUGUCUGUGGGAAGAAGCAGCCCAUUUGUCUCAAUGUACCAUUGGUAAGUUAUAAGCCUCCUGUUUGGUAUUGUCAAAGGACAUUUCUUGAGCUGUGCGAUGGAUGGAUCUGGUUUUGAAUUUUAAGUAUCUGCUUAGGUUUGAGAAGCGUUAUGGGCAAAUGGCAAAUGGUUCCCUAUGUGUAACAAGGGCAAUGCAGCAUGAAUUAGCUCAAAACUGGGGAAUUAGGUAAGAUUUCCAGCUCAUUGUUGGUUAAUUAUUUUCAUUUUCUGAUGAAAUGUUAUGGGAAAAUGUCUAAUUAUAUUGCAUGUGGUUAAAUUUAUAGAGCCACAGUUUUAUAUGAUCAGCCUCGUGAGUUUUUUUGUCCAACUUCACUUCAGGAGAAGCAUAAGGUGAGAUUCAUGUUCUUGAGUUCUCAUAAAGAUUUAUUUUGUAAUGGAGUUCCAUACUUAGUUGUUUUGCAGAUUAAAUAGGUAUCUUUGUCACCCUUUUGGGGUUCGAGAUUGUGUAACUGCUAGUAAGUCUAGUAAACAAUCAAAUUUAUUUUGAUUAGCAGCCUUAAAGAACACUUUUGACUGAUUUUACCCUAAAUGCAGCAACUACAGGAAUUGGGGCAGAUGACCAAAAUGAAACAUUAUUUACAACUCAGGUUGACACUGACAUCUUGUUGAAGCCAAAUAGGCCAGCUCUGUUGUAAGCAGUACAAGCUGGUGAGACCAUCCUCUAUGAAUGCCCUAUUUGCGUACUUCUUGCACUCCAUAUUUCUGCUUUUCUUUUUACCCUUAGUUGCUCUAGCCUCAUUAAACUUUUACCCAGUAAGAGCGAUAAUGGAAAGAAUAUUCUAAUAGAUGUUAGUCUAUGGAAUAUAAAAAUGCUCAUGUUGACAAGUUUUGUUCUUAAAACUUACUUUUUGCAUGAUAUCUUUUUUUUUUAAUAUGUUGCUGACUUAUUAUGGUUUUUUCUGAUAAAUUCUGAUUGAGAUUAUUUGUGUUUUGGUUGCUAUGGAAGAAGUUUAUUUUUUGUUCUAUUUUAAGAUCACUUAAUUUCACUUUCAACAAUUUUUAUUAUUUUAUUGAAGUAUAGUUAUGCUCACUGUAGAAGUUUCUCCUAUCCUAUUUUAAGAUUAUUUAAUUUCAAUUAUAACCAUUGCCUCCCUUUUAUUCAAGUAUGCACACGCUUAUUUUUGCAUGGUGAGUAUUUAUAAAUCUAUUAAGUGAUUCAUUCUCAAGAAUAACAUCUUUCCAGGACACCAGAUGAAGAUUUUGGGAUUCUAUUGGAAGCAGCGGUGAUGUAUGAUAGACGAGUUGCUGCUCUACUAGAUGAAAAUGAUUCUGCUGAUGAAUGGGUCCUCUGGAAGGAGAUCUCUGGUGGAAAGCAAUACUUGUACCCUAGGUUGUUGUUCAUCAUUACAGGUAACGGUACUGUAUGUCCCAGAAGCACCUGCUUCUGUGCUCCAUUGUUUCUUAAAAAUUUUCAAUAUUCAUUUAGGCAAAAGUCCUGAAAAGGAAAAGUACGAAGAGAAAAUAAAGAGGCUAAACCUCAAACGUGUUGCAUUUCGUACCACGUGGCUGUCAGCUGAGGAAUAUCCAUUGCUUCUUGGUAUGAUAUUCGUAAUCUAUUUUCUCUUCCUCAUAGUUCAUUCGGAAGAAGGGAAAAGUGCUUCAUGCUACCUGUUUUACAUCCAUAUUCUUGCUUCAUUUUACAGGUUCAGCAGAUGUAGGUGUUUGUCUGCAUACUUCCUCCUCAGGAUUAGACCUUCUCAUGAAGGUAUGUCAUUCUGGAGCUCCUGUUGAAGCCUUCUUAGGAAAAGAACAUUUGCAGCGAUAAACCUUUAUCACUCACCGAACUUGUAUUGUCUAGUAGGUGGUGGAUAUGUUUGGUUGUGGUCUUCCAGUAUGCGCUGUUUCCUACUCUGGUAAACUUGUGCACUUAUCAUGCAUGGUUUAGUGGCUUACAAUUUGAUACCUUUUAAUGCUAACGUCUAUUACUAUCUGCUACUGGUUUGACUUCUGAAGCAUUGACGAGCUUGUGAAGGUUGAGAAAAAUGGCCUGCUCUUUUCAUUGUCAUCAGAGCUAGCUGAUGAGCUCUUGGUAAGUGUUUUGUACUUAACAAAGACAAUUGGUACUUGCAAAUAAAAGUGGAUGAUGCACAACAUCUUCAUACAACCCUUCCUAGGAAUCAUGAUAGUACUAGUUAAGCAUCCAUUCUCACCUAGAUCUAGAUAAUUUGUUGGAGCACUAUUGGAUCAAUUGAAAAUUACUCCACUUGCAAUCGAUGUUGUAAGAUUCGGACUGGUGGUCAAACCAGCUUGACCAUCUGUUCCCGGUUCAACCAUGACAAAAUAAAGAAUUUCAAAAUAUUCUAGAAAAUUUAUAAAAAAGAAAAAAUAGGAAAAAAUAUUAAUAAACACAAUAGAUAAAGAUAGAAACAUAAACAAUAAAGAUAGAAACAUAAACAUUCAUUUUAUAAAUUAUAACCUCAAAAUUAAAUAUUUAAACUAGCUUCAAUCUAGUUCAACUUGUUUUUUAACUGGUUUGAUUGGUUUUUACUAGUUGAAUCGGUGUUGGUUUUAUGGAACCAGUGUCGGUUUUAUGGUACCGGUUGGACUACUGGUUCACGAUUCAACCAUUCGGUCUGGUCUAGUUUUGAUCACCAUGCUUGCAACUGACACUUCAUUGCAGCAAACUCCUCUUGUAGGUCGAAAAUCUCAUGAUCUUAAUUCACAUCAACAAAUUCCUUGAAAUUGAACAAUUACUCAUGAUCGCAUUAUGAGACUCUUGAAUCAUAGCUCUUUAGGCCCUAUGAGCUAAACGUUGGGGGGAGUGUGUAGCAGUAACAUCCCACAUCCGUCAAGUAUUAGGUUGCCUAUGGUCUUAUAUUAAAGUUGGGUCCCUCCACCUACUACCAAUUGGUGUUAGCUUGUGAUUGGCUGUUGAACCUUAUUAUAAACUGGGACCAGAAUAACUAAUUAAAUAGUUCGUUGUUAUUUUGUGACUUACAUUUCCUGAGACUGUUACAAUGGCGGUUUCUAAUAUUCCUUGGUUUUCUAUUUUACGUAUCAACACUGGCAGAUGGUCUGAAAUCUCUCAAGAACGGUGCAUUGGAAACAGGUUCUUCAGCUAGAUGGGCCGCUGAGUGGGAAGAACAUGCUAAGCCGUUAAUAUCAGAGGUUCUUUAACUCAUCCUUAAUCUUUUUUUUUUGUUCUAUUUCCCUUCACAUUUUACUUCCACUUUAUCUGAUGUUUCUCAACAAACUGUCUUAUUCAUUUCUCUCCUUUUCCUACCAUUCAGGGUGUAUUACCCCUUUCAGCAUGCUUUUUAAUAAAAGACAGAAAUGAAAGAUUUCCUUUAAUUUUCCCGUUUUUAAUUGAAUAAAUGGACUUCAAUUUGCAGGUUAUAUUCAGAAAAACUAACCUUAACUUCAGCCAUCUUGUGUCAAAGCUAGCCAUUCCAGCCAACUGCCUCUGCCACAUAUGUUAGUUUUUAGUCAAAGUGUUUGCUUCAUGGGACAUAUGCUUACUCCAAUUUUCCCAGGGAAUAUCACAACCCUUUGGUUAGAACUCUUUAGAUUAUAGUCCUUAUAUUUCCAAAAUGACAGUAAGUUUUUAUUUGUGGCAGCAUACAUAUGAUCGCAUGGUUUGGAUUUCUCAUGUUUAUAGGGUGUUUGACUGCUUCAAUCCCUGAAAUGUAUUAUUGUUAAAUUGAUAUAAAUACAUGGUUGCUAGUGAUUUGUUAGCAGCUGAUCAUAGUGGAAAAAAUCACCCACGGCUCCAUUUUAACAAUCAUUCAGAGUGAUCAGCUUGAUAGUGAUUUGUUACCAAUGUGUCAUAUUGUUGUUUGAUCAGCUUGAACAUCACGGUAAACUACUUCUCAACCAAAUACACAAAUCAUUCUGCUAGUUGCCGAAGCUUGCCAGAGCAGAUGAAAGUUAAAGUUUGCACAAUGGAUGAGCUCCCCUGCUAUACUGAACCAGAUGAGUUUGAAUACAAAGAUGAUUGUGAUAACUUGGAUGAAUAUGACGAAGUCAGUGAUUCAUGUGAAACAGUUCCAGAAACAUAUCCAAAUGAAGUGGUUAUUGUUUCAGCAGAUAAUUUGCAUAGCAUCAAUUUGCAUAGCAUCAUUCAUGGGGCUUGUCAUGAACAAUUUGAACAGAUUGAAGAAAAUGGGAAAAUAAAACCAGGGGAGUCAUCCAAUCUUGGAGUAGGUAAUGUAGAGUCACUAGUUUUCAUUGAUCCCCAAUUCCCCCUACUAGCAAGGCAAACCUCAAUUGCUACUGGCCUCACCAUGGUAAUGCUGCUGAAUGUGCAGAUAUGAUGAGCAUUGCUGGGAAGGAGUCUUUGAGGGGCAUGCGGUUUACAUAUGCUGUGGAAGCUGAUGAAGAUCCACAACCAUGGCUAAAAGAGAAACUAUUGACUACUGACGAUUAGUUUAGUAACAGACAAAAGAAACCCAAGUGGCCUUUAAAAUGCCCCAAAACUGAUGGAACCCAAUGAAGAAGCAAAACUUGGGUUGGAUUUCUCUGCUUCUUUGAACUGUGUCAGUCUCCUUUACGUAUGUGUUGAAAGGAUUAAUUAGAUAGGUAGCUCAUGCUGCUUCUUCAUUAAAUGAGUGUAUUAUAUUUACCGUAUUUUAGAUAGACAUUAAAUAGCUUAACUGCUCUCUAAAUUCUUGAUGUUUCUUUCCCCUCCUCUUUCAUCCUUUUUUUGUAAUAUUUUCCUUCUUUAUAUUUUGUUUUCUUUAUUCUCUCUUCCUCCGUUCUUGUACUUCGCGGAUUCUCUCUUGUCUCUUUUCAUUUUUUUCCUGUCAUUCUUUUUUAGCUUUGUGUAACCACAUGCAAAACACACACACACACACACACAGACUCUACUGCAGAAAGAGAGUUUUCUGUUUUCUGUGAUAUUGAAAUCCCCUGCUUCAUGGGAGAGUCAUUUCAGGUAUGAAUCUUUACUUCAAAUGUGCAUUUGCCUUUUCAUGUAUUUUUUAGUUUCAGAUCUAUGCUUUUUUUUUCUGUGAGUUUUUUGGUUUUCAUCUUUAGAAUAAGUUUGUCUUUGCCUUUUAAUCUCUGUUUUAGUUUUCAGAUCUAUGCUUCUUUCCUUGUUUUUCAGUCAGCUUUUGUUUGAGUUUUUGGUUUUCAGCCUUAUUAAAUACUGUUUUGGUUCGUCUUUUCAAAUCUAUGGAUGUUGGUGUCCUUGUUCUUUUCCUUAACAUUUGUCUUCUUGCUUUUUCAUCUCUGUUUUGGGGGUGUGGUUUGUUUAGCUGGGUCAGUUUGUAGGUUGUUGAUUCGGGUUCGUUUUCUUUGUUUUGGGCCUUUGGGGCCAUUGGUUUGGGGUGACUUGGGAUAGUGGGCCUGUUUUUUUGGGCGUGGGAUUGUGGGCAUGAAUUUGGGGUUUCUGUUUGGGUCCUGUGGCUUGUGAUAAUGUGCAUAUUUUCAUAGUUUUUUCUUUCCACAAUUUCCUUUUAUUUUUUUCUAACGUUUCUUUCCCCUUCAUUCUCUCCGUCUGUCCCAUUUUUCAAUUUUUCCUCUCAAUACUUUUUUAGCUUUGGGUAACCGACGGCCAAAAAAAGGCACAGACACUAUACAGUGAUUUUCUCUGCCGUUUCUGUUUUUGUGAUUCUUGGAAUCCCUUGCUUCAUCAGGUAUGAAUCUUUACUUGAACAUUGUCUUUGCCUUUCUAUGUUUUAACUUAAGAUCUAUGCUUUGUUACUUCUAUAUUUUGGUUUAUUUUAUGGUUUUUGAUUUUCAGGUGUAAAAACCACUGUUUCGCUGUGUUUGAAAUCUAUCCAUCUGGGUCUGUUUGUUUCUUUUUGGUUGUUUUAUUGUCUACUUUCGUGAGAGAGAGAAGCCCUAAGUUUUCUCUUCCGUUUCUGUUCGUUGUGAUUUUUGAAAUCCCUGCUUUAUCGGAGACUGAUUUCAGGUAUGAAUCUAUACUUCUACUUUAGUUUUCUCUUCCAUUUGCGUUUUCAUUUCUGCUUUUGUUUCAGAUCUUUGCUUUUUUAUUUGUAUUUCAGUUUGUUUUUAUAAGGACUUUUUGUUUUCUGCUUGAGACAUCAGUGUGAAUUUUUUGUUUUUAGUUUUCUAUUUUUUGUGAAUUUUGAAAUCCCCUACCUUUGUUUUGUUGCCUUUUCAUCUUUGAUUUUUGUCAGAGAUUUUGGUUUUCAGCUUUAGAGAAAAUCUAUUUCGUUCCGUAUUUGAAACUAUGGAUCACGUUGUGGUCUUUUUUUUUUUUUUCUCAGGAAAAUACUGUUGGGGCUUGUUUUUUUGGGCCUAAGUCAUGCUUAGAUUUGGGCUUAUGUUACGCUUAGGUGUGGGUCUCAGUUUGGGCUUAUGUUUUUUAUUGUGGUAUUGGGCUUGUUUCGUCUUGUAGUAUUAGGUUUGGUUGUGUUCGAGUGGGUUGGAUUGGGUUCGGGCAGUUUUCUUGAAAUGCAAACAAAUAAAAACUUUUUUUUGUUAUUCUUCUAUUUUUUGGUACAUUAGUAAUUUUUCUAUUGUAUUUCACCUACGCUUGCCAUUUUGUUUUUCUUUUCAUUACAAAGAUUACAACUUACUCUGGAUUAACGAUAAUAUUAUUAUCUUUUGUGUGUAUUUGCAUUUGAUGUCAAAUUAUUAGGAAAGUGUUAAAACAAAGUUUUCAAAUAAAAUAAAAAUAAAUGAAUUUAUUAUCGACAAUUUUGUGGGGAAAAAUGUUUGACCAAGGAGUUUAUUGAUUUUAUUUUAAUAUAUAAAUGAAAACUUCGUACACAUUUUUACCAAGUAUUUGACUUUUCAUUUUUAAUAAAUUAUCUUAAAUACUUGUUUGUCAUAUUCGUUGGUUUUUUUUAACGUAUUACCUAUUUUUCAAUCAAUGUUGGUUUUUUGUCCAAAUAUAUGUUUGAUACAAUGAUAUCAAAUAAUCUUGGUUAAGAAAAAUAUUACUAAUUUGGUGGACAAUUGUUGAAACAUUAGAAUUAGUUUCGUUACAAGGCAAAUAGAUAAAUUCCAGAAUCGAAAUCGCAACCAUUAUUUUUUAUAUAGGCUUUUAGCAAAGCCACUAUGAUAACGUCUUAGUCAUCAAAUUAUUCUCUAUAUACAAGAACGCUAACUAGUUGACCGUCUUAGAGCCCGGUUGCUCACGAAUUGAAGUGGCGAGUGAGAAAGAGCAAGGAUUCACUUUCUUAGUAGCAAUAAUCAAAUGACUACUUCAAUUAAAUAAAAAAAAUAACAACGCAAUAAUUCUAUUAGUUUUAAAGUAGCAGACAAAAUAAAAUACCCAAGUCGCUUUCAAAAUGGCCCAAAAUUGGAGUCCAAUGAAGAAAACUUGGAUUGGAUUUCUUUGCUUUCUUGAAUUGUUCUAGUCUCCUGUUCUUUUGUUUUGGUUUGGGUCGUUUUAGAUUGUAUUAGUGUUGGUUUAGGUUGUUUUAGGGUUUGGUUCAUGGUGAUUUUGGGUGUGAUUUGUGUUAUUUCCUAGUCGAUUUAAGAUUGGGUCGGUUCGGAUUUAGUAUGGAUUGGGUGUAUGUCAGUUCAGGUAUAGGUUGGUUUUUGUGUUGGUGAAUUUUGGUUUUAGGGUUCGGUAAUGUCAUUUUGGGUUUGAUUCAAUGUCUUUUUGGUAUCGUUUUAAGAUGUUUAUGGGUUCGGUUUGGGAUUAUAGUGUUUAGGUUUGGGGUUAUGUUUUUAGUGUGGUGUCAGGCUUGUCCCGUUUUGUAGUGUCAAGUUUGGUUGCGUUCGAGUCGUUUUAGGGUUUGGUUUAGGUAUUUUAGGGUCAAUUCAACUUGUUUUAAGGUUUGAUUUUGGACUUUAGGGGCUAGUUUUGGGCUUUUUGGGUUUGAUUUAUGGUGAUUUUAGGUUCGGUUUGUGUUAUUUUCCUAGUUAGUUCGGGUUUAGUACAGUUUGGGUGUAGGUCUGUUUGAGUUUAAUACGGUUUGUGUGUAAGUCUGUUUGAGUUUAGUACGAUUUGUGUGUAAGUUAGUUUGAGUUUAGUAUGGUUCAAGUUUUAGUCGGGUCGGUUUAGAUUUUAGGGUUUAGUUUAGGUUAAUUUGAGUCUAGUUUAGUGUUUUUUUGGUAUUGAUUCAGGGUGUUUGUGGCUUCGGUUGAGUGUAGGUCAGUUCGGGUUUAGUCAAGUUGGAUGUAAGUCGAUUUAGGGUUUAAGAGUAGACUAAAUCUAAAUAGGAUGCCAUACAUACCAAAAACAAAAUUAUGAUACUAAGAUUCCAUCACCACCUAUCUAUAUUGGCUAGACCAAAUUAGAGGUGUUCAUGGGUCAAGUCAGGUCAUUACAAAAUUUUAGUCUUGAUCGUUAGGCUUAGGUUUGGCCUAAAAAGUGGGUCUAAUUCUUUGUCUAAGCCCAACCCAGAUCAUAAAUUUCAAGUCGAAGCUUGGCCCUUAUUAAAUUUUUUGUUCUUAUAGCCCCAUAGAAGGGAAUCGAGUUGAGUUAAAAAUAAAUAAUAAUUAAAUAAGCCUACAAGAGACAAAGAUCAAAUGAAGAAUCAAGAACAAUAAUUCAUAAGCUUCUAAUAUGGUCUGAAGCUAAUGCAUCACAAAACUCAAAUGUAAAGUCAAGUUGAUGCAAUAUAAGCCUUUCUAGAAAAAGUGAUAUGACAAUAAUAACUUUAGCAUGAUAAGAUAGCCAUUUUGAGGUUAGCAAUAUGCAACAGAAUCUAAUUUAUACUCUUAAGAAGAGAUAAAAAUUAUUGUAAAAAAUAAUAUUUAGGCCUAUAAAGGAGACAAUGAUCAAAUGAAAAACUAACAAUAGGAACAUCUUAUAGCCAAACAAAUUUUCAUAAUAUCAUCUUCAUUUCAAAAAUUAGCAGAUAAGGCAACUGUUGAAGUAAAUAAGUCUAGACAUGGUUGUUGCUAAAGUGAAUUGCAAUAGACUGUUACAAUUCAUUACCAAUACAUUAUAAUGUCUAAAUACGAUUUCAUGUUUUAUAUUUUAUAAAGCAUGGAACAUUAAUUCAUAUAGUUUGAGAUUAUCAAAAGAAAAAAUAAAAUCAAGGUUCUACAAUAUCCAAACAAUAUUAAAAGCAGUAGCAGAAUAACAUUAAAAGUAGCAGUGGAACAACAUUAAAAACAGCAAUGAUAGCACCAAAAGCAACUUGCAAAAUGUAAUCAAUCAACCAGAAUGCCUAAAUUUAAAGUGUAGAAAAAGAAUUAAUACUUUAAGUUGCCCCAAAUGUAAUAAAAGAUAAAAAAGCAAUUAUCACUUUUGAUUUGAGAAUAAACUUAUUAUGACGUGCUUAUCAUGCUUUCUCUUAUAGCUCGACUAUCUUUCUUCGACAUUGCGUCAUUCAAGUUAUUUUUAAUGCUAAUAAUCAAUCUAGCUAACAUAGUUUGAUUUUAGGGUAAAUAAUUUAAGCUAAAAAUUAAAGUUACAAAGCUUGAGUCUUGAGAAUUAGGAUAAUCCCAUUUUGACCCUUAAUAAUUACCCUUUAUCUAAAAAUUUAAAUCACAUGUAAAUUAGUAUGAAUCUCCAAUAUAAUACAUCAAUAAAAGUUCAUAGAUUUUGAGACACUUUAAUAGUGAAUUUAAGCUUUAAAUAACUAGGAACCUUUAAAUAGUGAAUUCUAAUACCCUACGGCAAAAAAAAGUUCAAACUUUAAAAAAAAAUUGUUAACUCUAGUACAGUUGAAGAACCUUUAAAUAAUUCGGAAUUCAAGCUUUUGAGACACUUUAACCGUGAAUUCAAAACUUAAAAUUCGUGCAUCUCUCAUUCAAAGAAUAGACUAAAGAAACAAUCUUUAGUAAUGAAUUCAAUAUAACAUUAAAAAAACACAAAACGGUGCAUUAAGUGAUUGAAGAACGAAAAGAACUCAUUGAUUAAUCAAAAAAUUCAAGAAGCAAAAACGCUAAAAAAGAAAUUAAAGGCUGGGGCAAAGGAGACGAUAGUAAUGAACGUUGGUGACAGAGGAAGCAAUAGCUUCACUGGCUAGUCAACGAUACAACACCACUUAGGAAUUUUUGGUUAAAAUAGAAACCAUUUCGGGGCAUUUGGGAGUAGUGGGAAUAGUAGCUGAAUACAACACUGUACCUUUGCCUUUACCACUAUUCCCAAAUGCCCCAAAAUAGUUUUUAUUUUAACCAAAAAUCCCUAGGUGGUGUUGUAUCGUUGACUAGCCGGCGAAGCUGUUGCUUCCUCUGUCGCCAACGUUCACUAUUAUCAUCUUUUUUGCUCCAGCCGUUUUUAAUGUCGCCAACAUUCACUAUUGUCGUUGGGUAGUUUCGUUGGUGGAUUACAUAUUGUAGGUUGUUUCACUGUUGUUUUUAGUAUUGUUUCACUGCCGUUUUUAAUGUUGUUUCACUACUGCUUUUAAAGUUUUUCCGUUACUGUUUUUAAUAUUGUUUGGAUAUUGUAGAAUAGUUAUUUUAUUUUUUAUCUCUUGAUAAUCUCAAACUAUAUGAAUUAGUGUUUGAUUCUUUAUAAAAUAUAAAACAUGAAGUCGUAUUUAGACAUUGGUAAUGAGUUGCAACAGUCUAUUACAAUUUACUUUAAGCCUGAUUUUAUUUUUUAUAAUAAUUUUGGUCUCUUCUUAGAAGUAUAAAUUACCUUAAAAUGACUACCUUAAAAUGAUUACCUUAUCAUGCUAAAGUUGUUAUUGUCAUUUCACUCUUCUUAGAGGGGCUUGUAUUGCAUCAGCUUGCCUCUACAUUUCAGUAUUGUGAUGCAUUGGCUUCAGACCAAAUUAGAAGUUUAUGAAUUAUUAUUCUUGAUUAUUCAUUUGAUCUUUGUCUCUGUUGUAGGCUUAUUUAAUUAUUAUUUAUUUUUAACACAACUUUAUUCUCUUUUUUGGGGUUAUAAGAACCAAAAAUCUAAUAUGGGUUGGGCUUGACAUUUAUAAUCCAGGUUGGGUUUGGACAAAAAAUUAGGCUCACUUUUCGGGCCAAAGACUAGCAAUCGAGUUUAAAAUUUUAUUAUGGCUCGGUUCGACCCAUGAACACCUCUAAUAUUGGCCGUAUAUGAUUUUAAUAUUACCAUAGGUAUAUUAUGAAUAAAAGUAUAAUCAUCAAUGUAAUUCACAAAGGUUUUUCGUUAAGAAUAUGGAUCAUGUAUAAGAAUGUACCCCAUAAAUUCUCUUUCUUUUCAAAAAAAAAAAAGACUUUACCUAUCAUUUAAAAAGAAUGGCUACUAGAAUUUGGUUGAAAAUUUUCUCCUUGUGAAAAUGAAAGUUUUAAAAUGCAAAAACCGAGCAACAAAAUUUAUUCACACAUGCAGAGGUAGCAAGUGUACACCCCAACCUAUUGCAUGCUCGUACAAAAAUAAACUCAAAAAUAUAUAGGAAGGAAUUUGCUGCAGUAGUGUGGGAUAACUCUGGUCAAGACUCAUUUAAAACUCAUAGAAAGCUUGAUAAAUAAGAACUAUUAGGAAAACAACCAUAGAGCCAACAAAACUCAUUCACACAUGUAGAAGUAACAAAUGUACAUACAACUAUAUGCCUGCUCAUACAAAAAUAAACCCAAAAAUAUGAAGAAAUUUGUUGCAAUAGUGUGAGAUAACAAUGGUUAAAUCUCAUUUAAAAAUCAUAGAAAACUUAAUAAAGAAUCAUUGGAAAACAACCAUAAAGCUUCAGAGGGAAUACAAUAUUGGCAAGGUCCUUGUUCUUAAAAUAAAUGAAGAGGAUGUCAUUCAAGUAUUCUGUGCAUUACAUCCUUUCCUCCCCCGCCCACCCCAACCCAACCUAACCCAACAAUUCUUUUUCCUAAUUUAAAUGGUAAAGAAAAACACCUAAUUUUGUCUAUUCCUUUUUUUUUAUCUCUUUUAAAAACAUUACUCAUAAAUCAUAAAUCACUUGAGCUUUUGAAAAUUGUUAUUCUCAACCUCUUAAGCAAUUAAUAGAUAGAGCUAAUUAGUGGUUAAUAUCUUCUUCAAACUUUUAUACACCAUGAUAGUACAUCAAAAUUUUUGAAAGAUAGAGGAAAGAUUCCUCCGAAAGGAUUCUACAAUUUUUGGUGGAAACGACACACCAACCUUCAGUAGUAGUUAAGAGUAAGACUAUUUGCUCUAAACAAUAUAGAAAACAAAACUUGGGAUCCCAUUAAUGGAAAAUAAAACCUCACCUGCACUAUAAAGGCAUCAGGAGGAGGAACUUUGAAGCAAAGAAAUGAAAGAAGUAUUACAAACUUAAUGAUUGGCUUCAUUAAGAGCAUCAGUGGAUAAAUUAUCUUCAGUAAGCUAUGAAAGUGCUUUUGCCGUUGUAUCUCCGAAUUAAUUAAAAAAAUUAAACAAUAGAAUUUGAUAGCCUUGUAAUAAUGCCUUAGCCCAAUGAUAUUCCUCCGGACAAUACCAUUGUGUGAAUAUGAAUAGAUUCAUUCUCUUUAACAGUAGAGUGGGGUUUAGAACCUAUCAAAACAUUUAAAUCCACAUUCAAUUAGUAUAUUUAUUAAUAUAAGAAAUUUUUAAGAGCAGGCAUGUAGUUGGGUUUUCACAUUUAUUCUUAAAAUAAAUAUUGGCAAGGUCCACAUUCAAUUAGUAUAUAGAAGUAACAAAUGUGAAGAUCUGUCUAUCUAAAUUUAGAGUUUGAACAGAGUAAUCUUUCGUAUAUUUGGG